rnacentral:lncRNA from 1 species
UCAUGAUCUUAUUAUCCAUCAAAUUUGUCUUGCUCACUAUGCUUAAGGUUAGAGAAGAACAAAUACACUUUUGGUUCUGUUGGUGUUUUCCACCAACAGGACCCAUGCACUUGAUCUCUGCCUUGUCUCUAUGAGCAGGUACACUUCGAGCAAAACAUGGAGGAGUUUUAUAACUCCCAGAUUCCACCAAGUGAAGGACAUGGAUCUACGAGGACAAACACACUGAGCAAGACACUGCCAACACCGCACUUCGAACUACUGGGCAAACAAAGAACAUGGGUGACACCGUAUUAAGAGGUGCAGACAUCAAGGUCCACACCUGAAUCAAAUGACGCACCUGAAGAAUGAACACGGUGAGAAGUCUUGUUCAGAAGACUUAAAAUAUUGAACCCUCGCCGAAAGGUAAAAUCGGUAAUUAUCCAUAUUUAUCCUUUCUACAUUCCCUUUCUCCUUUAGUUAUUUACUUUCCUUAAAUGGCUUGUUAGUUAAUUAUGCUAUCUUGAAAAGAAAAUGAAAAUGUUAAAAAUAGUAAGCCCUAUGUGAGUAUGCUCGUGGCAUAAAACCCAUAAGUACAUUCACUGUGGUGGCGUAAAAAUAAAAUAAAUAUAUUCCUGUCCUAUAAAAAUGAGAAUAUAAAAAUAAAUUUAUGAUCCUACCAAAAAGAGUAACAUUUAUUGAGGAAGCUCAAUAUGAUAAAGGCUAGAUAUUUAUGCUAACACUUAACGAGUUCCACAAAACUUUGUUGUCUAUUUUGAGCUCCACAGAAUUCAAGGAUCAAAGAAGACUAGCAAACGGAGGACAUCCUAAUCGCUGUCAGGGUGCUGUCGACAUUCAAAUACACCUCCGUCACCUGCUAGCUACAUCAGAAGAAAUUACGUCAAAAUCCAGCUUGGGGGAGAGCACCCCCAUUUAUCUAGCUAAGUGUUUCUACUCGUGUUUAUACUUUACUCAAAUAAUAAAAAGAUGCAUAAUAAAAAAAACCCAAAUAAAGAUUUUAUGCUUAUAUAUAUAUAUCUUUGCUUAGUUUGCUAAAUAAAUAAAUAAAUAAAGUUUGCUAUGAACCCUCAUGAUAAGCUCUCACAUGGAAAUGAUGAAUAGUUGCUCUGCCAUGACUAGUUCUCAAAAUUGAAAUCUCUCUCAAGUUUAGGCAUGACUGUUAUGAAUUAAGAUUUGCUCUAAACCUAAACUUGUGGGAAGAGUACUUGAUCUAAAGUCUAAGUCAUUAACGGAUAUGAUAUGGGAAGGUUGAGCUGCUGUUUAUCUGUUCCUAGAGAUGCUAGAAUUCUGGAGAAUUUUUGAAUAUCUUUAAAAUGUUGCAUGAUGAGUUCCUGUAUGAUGAGAGUUUAAAAUCCUACCACAGCCACAUAUACAUGCUUAUGAGACUAUGAACCAUACAUUUACUUUUUACUGCUUAUGAGCAUUGAGUGUGGUCAAGCUAUGUAGACCCUUAGUAGCUUGUCAUGCGGUUAUAAUCAAGAUUCACUUGCGCGUCCACUCAUACAUGCUGCUUCUACUCCAAAAGUAUGCAUCCACAUACAUCCACUCCUUUCCAUCUCCAGAUUCACCUAAAAUUAUUCUACUCCUAUCUAGGAGAGAAUAGCCAAAAACAUUAUCCCAUUCCUGUUUUUCCCUGUGAAAUAAAUGCUCGAGCUAUUUUGGUUACUACCACUUGCUACAUUAUUCCAGGAGGGUGAGUGCUCCGAAAAAAAAGAAGAAAAAUACGAGGAAAUAAAAAGGGGCAAGUGCCCGGAACCUCGAAAGAAAAAAGAAAAAGUGAGACGAGAGGUAAAAAUGGACAAGUGUCCGACAGUAGAAUUAGGGGUACAAGAUACCCACCUGAGAGAAAAGAAAAAGAAAAUAUAGAGCAUCUCAUUCCUCUCAAAAAAACCUUCAAAGUGCAAGAAAGGUAUGUAUCCCCUCAAAAGAGCAAAAGUAGAAUUAGACUUUCACCAUUAUUUUCACCAUUAUCACCAUCAUCACCAUACACCAUUCAUCCACCACACAUGCACAUCUUGGUUUGACUUAUUGACUUGUUUCUCUGGAUCCAUGGUUUGACUAUGCAAUAAAUGUCUUGUAAGUAUGUAUUAGCUGUCUCCCACCUAUGAGCUCCAGAUACCAAACCUUAUUAGAGUAGGGUGAGAAAGAAGGCAAUAUCAAUAUGCCUCAUACCACAAAUACUACAUACUUUGAGAGAAGGCGUAUAUUAUCACUGCCUUGGUAAGGAUCCAGAAAUACCACAAAAGAGAGACUAGAGAGAGUCAUACAAGAAAUCUCUGAGUUUUAUUUGAAAAUCUGCAAAAACUCCAGAGCUAUAGUUGAUCAAAGAACAAGAGACAUGGUACUUGACUUGACCGUUCUAUCUCUUAACUGCUCCAGACACAAGUGACGGCUGCAAGCCCCAUGGCACUACAAGAAAUCUCAGAUUUUAUGAUAAACAAUAUUUGUCAUGUAAAGUAAAGAAAUAGUCACAAAAUGUUUGGCAUGACGAAAAACCACCGUCAUGGAGGUCGUCAUAUAUCGACCAUCGCUAAAUGUACCUUGUGACAAUAUUAAGCAAAGUCGUCAUAUAAUGGGUUAACGUUUUGUGACGGUUAUACCAUAUCGUCGUAUAAUGUUUACCUUUAAUGACGGUUGUCGUCGUCACAUAUUUGCUGGUCAACUCGUCGCAUAUAAUACGUCACUGUCACAAUAUGCCUCGGGGGGACCAAGAUUCAGUCUAUUUUUUGUGACGAGACUGUUGCGUCUUAUAUAGUCAUGCAUAUGUUGUGACGCUAUUUUUGUGUCUUGCAAUGUAAGGAAGUUAGAUAAAUCUGAGACGACUCCAGGUUGUCAUACAUUUUCAUUUCAUUCCGUGACGAAGGCUCUAGUGUAUGUAUCAAUUGCAAUUCAUGACCAAUGUCACACAUCAUCAUUCCCAUCAUAGCUCAUAAAUCAUACACAUUUUAGGCAAGCCAUCAUCGACAUAUACACUCUAGACUAUAAGACACAAUGUUUGCAAGUUGAAAUACAUCAUAGUAGUUCUAGGUUCCAUCACAUAGGUUCAAAUCCACCAUACAGGUACAAACAUAAAAGCAGAUGCAAAUAAGUUCAGAUACUUGGUUCUACAAAUUCAGAUACUUGGUUCUAAAAACACAGUGAAACAAAAGUUCAUAGAUGUUAUUCUGGCAAAGGCAUCAGAAAUAGAAGCUGCAUUCAAACCUAGACCUCAAUCUUUCUAAAGUUUCAGCAUAGCCCGCAGCAGUGCAUUUGUGUCUUCAAACUUGGUAUGCAUCUCCUUCACUUCAUCUUGGGUCUGGCGCAACAAAGUUUGGUUUUCCUCAAGAGCUGCUUGGUUUGCUAGAAGCGAGGCCUGUUGAGCUUGAAGCUGUGCUUGUAGCUCUUCCUGAUGCCUAGCAGCUUGCUCUCUUUCAGCUUGCAGUGUUGCCUCGAACCGAGCUUGAAGGCGUGCUUCAUUGACUGUUGUUGUGGACCGGCUAGUCUUCGACACUCGAGCGACACCGAUGUUUGGAAGGAAGGUGGAUGAUCGGCAGAUCUGGCUAAGACUGUCAGCAACAAUCCUAGAGGGGCUCUUUUGUUCUUCUCCUUCAUUUGGUUCUCUUUCCUUCUCCAAAACCAUUUGUUCCUACAUGGAAUGAAUGCACUUAGUAACAAGGCCAAACAUCUUAGUUGAAUCUAGCAAUUUAUUGGUCAUAGUACAUAUAUCCAUUAAUUAUUGUACUUACAUAUAUGUCAUUUGCAAGAGGAGUACGGCCAUUUUGUGGGCUAUUCAUACACUCCCCAAAGAAUUCAAUAGGAUCUGGUUCCAUAUUGUUAUACUUCGGCCUCUGCAGCAUGCAAAAAUCUUGGGUUACAAUGACAUAAGUGAAGGUAUAUACAAGGCUAGACAAACAUGGGAUAUAAGAUGAGGCAUAAUUUUGUUUCAUGUAAACAGCAAGAUGCUAAGAAAUGUAAGCAGUAUAGGAACAUACAAUUGUGUGCUAGUUGCUAACAUAUUUUUUUUAUGGCAACAGCAAAGGAAAUCACAGGCAAUCAAUUAAUUAGUGCUAUGCUUUGUCAAUCAACAUUCACACCUAUUUGAUUCCCAGUUGGCCAUUAUCAUCAUAAAAAAUUCUGCAUCAAAGAAAGCAUGAAUAUCCAUACCAGGCUGUAUCGAUGGGCAAUAUAGGACCUAGAUCCUGUCCUUUGGUGAAGCUGCACUUGGCCUCGGUUGUCUUUGUUCUUAGUUGAUUUCUCCUACAUUAAAAAUGGAAAGCACAUGUUUCAUUCACAUGCUCAAUUUGCUUUGCAUAUUAACAAAAUCAGAUAGUGGACAUGGACCUGAUUAGUUGGGUCACACCAGUACUCAACCAACUUGAUCCAUUCCUCUUUCUGCAUUUUCGGUGGGGGUUCUUUGGCCAACAAUUGUUCUCUAGUCAGUGAGGGGUCGAAGUACUUCUUCUUCAGGAGAUACCUUUGUUGCCUUAGUCCCCUCUUAAUGAUAUCAGUGCAUGCAUCUUUGCUUGGUCCCUCUGACUUAAUAUCAACAUCCAACCUUGACUAUAAGCACAGAAAUUAAAUACUAGACUUAAUUUAUAAUUCAGAGUACUGUAAUGCAUGAAAAUAUUAGGAAGAAUGAAAUAGCUCACUCACCGCCACUUUUCUUAGCACUUUUGCAACUUCUGCUUGCCCAACAUCAUUAUCAUAAUCUUUCCAUUUUGUAUAUAUUGGUAGGUUGUCUCUAAGGGCUACACCACAUUCUGAUGCCAGCUUUGCUGCUUGAAGUGGCACGUCAGGUCUUUUCUUCCCAGGAGCCACCUCAAUAGCAAGCUUCUUUCCUCUAUUAAGCAUCUUCUCUAAACCAUGGCCCAAUGUUCUCUUGCGAACAUUCUUUUUGGGAGCUGCAUCUGCACAUAACAACAAAAAUGUUUUAUUAUAGCAGUAGCAAUUGUAGAUAUUGAAUAGGGAAACUAAUGCUUCGAAACACAAAUUAUUUACCUGCAGAGUCAUGGACUGGUUCUCCUUCAAUUGUAUGUCCCUCAGAAUUAGGAGUAUCACAUUGAGGAGAUGAUACAUUGAUGUCAUUGCUUUGUCGGCUGCUUUGUGCACCUGGUGAGUUUUCUGCAGGAACUGUUUGGUUAUUGCUGUUUGUGGGAGUAGGUUCUUGAGGUAGGCUAGCACUGGUUCUAGUAAUAGUAGGCACUCUGUAAGCACCAGGUGAAGACAUGGCUGCACUAGUCCUUGUGAAUCUACGUGGACUAGGCACUGUAUUUGGGGCAGGUGAGGAGUUCGCUGCAUUGGCCAUAAUGUUUCCCAAAGAAGUAGGCACAGUGUUUGUAGUGUCUGUGGUUAGGGUGGCGCUAGUGAGAUGGCCAUGCAAAUGGCUGGCAUUGGGAAUAGCAUUUGUAUCAGUGUUGGCUUUGUCUUGGCUUGGCUUAGGUGGUGGACGGGCUGCAGUGGUCUUUGGAGGCAAGUUUUGUCUUGGCUUAGGUGGUGGACGGCCUGCAGUUUUCCUAGGGUCUGCACUAGGCGAAUACAUGGCAGCCUGAGCCUUGGUAAAUCUGGUUGGUGUGCGCGGUGGCUGCUGAUUGGUAGCCGCCUUUUGCUUCUUCUGUUGAGGGCGAGCUCCUGGAGCCAUUGGUCUUACCUGGCAAGAGAAACGUGCAUCUUAUAAGUUAAGAACACAACAACAAAGAGUGAUAAGUACAAUGAUGUAUGUGUUGAGCUAUAGAAGGAUAUGUAUGCUUGAAAAUUGGCCCAGUGUUUCAUCUCACCUCAGUAUUGAGGUCAUCAUCAUAAUCAUCAUCAGAAUCAGAUUUGUUAUCAAUGUCAGAUGAUGGAUCAUAUUCAUUGUCAGAAUCUGGUUUUCCAGGCACUAGGCUCUUCCCUUUGCCCUCUUUCUCACAUUUUGAGAAAGCAUUUCUAACAGUUUUUGAUAACACAGGAAUACCCAAUGACAUAAAAACAUCCUGGACCAUCUUAAUGUUCUGGUCCCUCUGCAGCUCAUACUGAGAUUUUGGCAUUUCCUUUAACAAUUUUAAUGAUGCAACCCAGAAAUAGCAGAAACUUUUAACAGUUUCUGUAAAAAAAAUUGAAGGAAGUCUAAUAGUUAGUCCAAGAGUAGUAAAUUAGCUAGUAUGAAUGAAAGAGCUUGACAUGCAGAAUACUAUAAACAUGGUGCUUUUUCUGUCACACGGCAACAAAGUUCAAUACUGAAUGACACGUUUAGCUCCUGAGGCAUGGACACUUCAAAUCAAAUACUAUGACAACUGAUGACUACAAUGAUAAGUUCCAUAUUAGUUCGAAACAUGAAAGUACCUCUAAAUGUAACAGUUAGCAUGCACAGACAUGCACAAACAAAGUCAAGAAUAGGACUUCAAAGUAAAGAAUAGGACUAACACUUCAAGCAUAGACAGUGCACUUCGAGCACAGACAAAACAAAGCAUGUAGUAAUAGAAUAGUACUUACUCUGACGAGCAGACGGGAAGACGAUAGAUGGGGAGCUGGGUCCCCGCGGAGGUAAGGACAGCGUGUUGGGCGGGCGUUGUUGUUGACAGCGGGAUUGGCUGCUCCGGGCUCUAGGCUCUCGUGUUGCUAUCGACGGCGGGAUGGUGGCUUCGGGCUUCGAGCUCCGGUGGAUCCAAGAACUGGCGUAGGUGUAGUGGUGAGAUGGGGGGCUUCGCAUCCCCGUGGAGGUCCUAACGGCGGGACGGGCGGUGCCGGAUCUGGGCCCUGCCGCAGGUGCGGCGGCUAGAUAGGCGAAGGGCGGCACUAGGUUUACGGGAGGGAGGAGGAGGCCAUGGCUGCACUGAGUGGAGCCAUGCUGAGCGCUGAGGAUAAUGCCGGAUGAGUGGGGGAUUUUGGCCAUGCUGAGCGGGAGUCAUGGUGGGUUCCAUUUGUCGGUGACCGAGUGAGGGCGGGAGAGCUCCAAGGUGUAGGUGCCAAUUUUAGGUUCUGGACAGUGGGUCCUCUAUGUCAGUGACUAUAUUAGUAGUAGUACCAACUAAUUGAGUUUUUUGGAGUAAUAACUUUCAUCAAAUGUAAAAAAUGUCAGAAACAAAGUUGUGUAAUGCAGUGAGAUCUACCAUUUUGAUUUUGGGGGAUUUGUCAUAAGACUUUGUCUUGAAUUUGAAAAUAUUAGAACUUCGAACAAAUUUUUUAGAUACUUUCUUAUUUCAAAUGAAAAAUUCAUGAACAUGAAAGUUUCUCAACUCAUCAAUAUCUUUGACUUUUAUUAAGGUCAUUUCUUCAUCCAACAAACUUAUAGAAAUCUUAUUCACAAAUUCCAUGCAUCAUACUUGUUGUUUCAUAAACUAGAAGUGAGAUGCAUAGAAUUUGUGAACAACGUUUAUAUAACUUUUUCAGAUGAAAAAAUGACCUUAAUAAAAUUCAAAGAUAUUGAUGAGUUGACAAACUUUCAUGUUGAUUACUUCUGUAGUUGGAAUCAUUAAGAGUUUCAAAUAUUGGCUUAAAGUUGUCAUUUUUGGUAAACUCACAUUAUGAUUUGUGCAAUCUUUGUCACAUGAAAUGAUGAUCACAAGAAACUCAAUAAAAUGAUAGAGCAUGAAUUUAGAAAAAUUUAGGAAAAAAAGCAUCGCAUUUCGAGUAUGUAUGUGGGAGAAAUACUAGUUACAAUUUUUUUAUAUGGAUUAAAAAGAGAAAUGAUGCUUCCAUACUGAGUUCAUUGCAUCCAAGGCUAAGAACCAUAUAGGGCCCACUUGUCAGUCACACAUUGGACCCAAAUGUCUGCCAAUGCUCACUUCAAUUCGGGACCCACAUGUCAUUGGGGGCACUUAGCAAAGCAGAGUUGGAGAGGCACUUAGGCACCUCUCGGCCAGUGCAGAGGGCACUCCUGGGCAGGGGCACGCCGGCGGUCACCCCACAUCACCGUCGCCAUCCUCACUGUUGCUCUCUUGCCAGCCCCAUUACUGCUCCUCACCUUGCCUUGCUGAUGUCGCACUGCUCCACACUGCUGCUACUUCAUCGUUGACCCCAACGACUACCUCGCCGGUGAACCCGAGUACCAGCCUCGUGCGUCCCACUGGUGCUCCCAUGCUGGCCAUCCGCACUGCUGCCUCACCACCCCCUCACCUACAGCAUCUGCAGCUGCUGCCUCGGCACCCCCCUCGCCACCAGAUCUGUAGCUGCUGCUGCUUCGACGGCUAGCAGCUAGAUGGUGCUGCUACAUUAGGUCGAUUUGAACAAGGUGGGUUUUUUCUGUUCAUCAAUGACUUGUUGGUUUGUAAGACCUCAUUUAGGUUAUAGGAUUUCCACAGGAUUUUUCAGUGGAUACUUGGUGCAUUUUGCAAGUUGUUGUGUUUAAAUGACACAUGACAAUGUCAUUGAAUGACCAUAAUCUGUCAUAUAAAGUAUGGAAUUUGUCACAAAAGGCACAUGCUACAACUUAUAUGUUUUCACCAUGUUGAAAAUUCAAUUCCUAUAAGAUUAAUGGAGAUCAAUUCCUAACAUGUUGGCACCUCAAUUCAUGCAGAUCAAGAUGGACAGAAGCUGGAUUUAUAACAGCUUACCAUUUACUGAACCCUAUAAGGCUGGUGUUGAGAAAUUCAUGCAACAUGUUAGAAGUAGAUUCAGAGCAGAUGAAAAAAUCAAGUGCCCAUGUCGUCGAUGCCUAAACCACGUAGAAAAAAGUCAAGAUGAGGUAGAAGAGGAUAUACACAUCAAUGGUAUGUCUAGGAUCUAUACAAGGUGGAUUGAACAUGGAGAGGGAGAUGAUAAUGAUGUUGACCAAGAUGGUGGCACACUAGCUAUUGAACAGGAUUUGUCUUGGGAUGAAAAUGACCAAGCUCCACUUGAUGAUGAAGUGCAAGGUGAAGAUGUCAUAGAAGAUAGUGCACGGGGAGUUCAAGGGUUGAUUCAAGAUUUGUACACUGCAGCAAGCCAUGGACACAGUGGUAACUUAUAUAAAGAAAUCAUGGAAGAGGCUAAGCGAGAGCUUUAUCCAGGUUGCACCGAAGAGUCAAGGCUAAGUUUCAUUGUUAAGCUCCUACAUAUAAAAGUGUACAAUCGGAUACCAAAUUCUACGUGCAGCGAUUCUUUGGGCAAUCCAUGACUACCCUGCAUUAGGCACCAUGUCAGGAAGAACCACCAGGGGUUACUUCGCAUGUGUCCAUUGUGAUGAGAAUCCAUGCUCUGAAUGUCUAACAAACAAAAUUGGAUUCAUAGGUCAUAGACGUUUCCUCCCAGAUGGCCAUACUUGGAGGAGAAAUAGAUCUUUCAAUGGCCACCAAGAAAAUAGAGAGAAGCCAAGGAAAUUUAGUGCAGAUGAGGUUAUGGCAAGGUUGGAUGAAGUUUCCUAUGUUCCUGGCUAGAAUCCAGAAAUGCCAAAAUCAAGAAAACGACGCCGUGAUGGAGAACCAGUUUGGCAUGUGAAGGCUAGCUUGUAUGAUUUGCCAUACUGGUCAAAAUUGAAGCUACAAUACAACCUUGAUGUUAUGCACAUAGAGAAAAACAUAUGUGAAAACAUUUUGUCAACUCUACUUAAUAUUCCAAACAAGACAAAGGACACAAUUGCUGCUAGAAUAGAUUUGGAAGAAAGAGGUAUAAGAAAGGAGCUUCAUUUGCUAAAUGACAGUGGUGCUGCAUCUUCAAAGCCAAGAGCUUGUUACGUUCUAACACCAGAAGCAAAAAAGAAGUUUUUGCAAUUUGUGAGCAAUGUUAAGUUUCCUGAUGGCUAUGCCUCCAAUAUAUCAAGAUGUGUCAAUAUGGAGGGAGGAGGAUCAAUGCAUGGGCUGAAAACACAUGACUGUCAUAUACUACUGCAGCGUAUUUUACUAGCUGGCCUUCGUGGUUUAGUGCGCAAAGACGUAUACGAAGUCAUUGCUGAAGUGGGUAGGUUUUUUACGCAACUUUGCUCCAAAACUCUAAAGGUUGAUGCAUUGAACAAGAUGAAGGAAGAUAUUGUACUUAUCCUUUGCAAGUUGGAGAAAAUUUAUUCUCUUGCAUUCUUUGAUGUCAUGGUUCACCUAGCUGUACACUUACCUGAUGAGGCACUCCUUAGGGGACCGGUUCAGUAUGGAUGGAUGUAUCCCAUUGAGAGAAGAUUGGGCACCUUUAAGCGUUUCAUCCGCAAUAAAGCAAGACCUAAAGGAUCUGUGUAGAGGCAUACACUGCCUAUGAGUGCAUGACCCAGUGUUCAACAUAUUUCAGUGACAUUAUUAAUAGGUUCACUAGGCCAGAAAGAAACAUAGAUGGACAACAUAGCACCUCACCCAAUGGUUACUGUAUUUUUGAUCAUGGGAUUAACCUAUUGGGUGCUUCAAAACUUCAUUACGAAGAUAAAGACUAUGACUCCAUGGUUUGGUUUGUUCUAAAUAACUGUGAAUACGUUGAUGAAUACAAAGAGUGAGUAAUUUUUGACAUUUCUUUUCAGCCUACUUUAUUCAAUACUUGUGUCACAUUAAACUAAUUAACUUCUUUCUUCCAUUCCAGCUUGUACAGGGAAGAAUUAGAACAACAACAAGUCAACGAUAUUGAAAAAGUGAUCUCAACACAUUUCGCUCAAUGGUUUGAGAAACAUGUGUGUGCAGCUUUUACAACACGAAUCAAUAUUUUUGAUACAAUACAUUAUGAAACAUCCUAAUUAUGUAUGUCUAUAACCUACAGAUUACCAGAUUGAAAUAUGAAGGCACAACAGAUGUUGAUGAAGACCUGUACUCACUCGCAUGUCGGCCAGAUAGGCGUGUGCGUUCAUACACAGCUUGUAUAAUCAAUGGGGUACGGUACGACACUGUGGCCCGUGAGGAAUACCGGAAGACACAUAACUCCACCAUCAAAACUGCAGGUACUCACAAUGAUGACACUAUUGACUUCUAUGGGACAAUCACAGACAUCAUUGAGUUGACUUACAAUAAGAACAACAAAGGAGAUAGAUCUAUUGUCUUAUUACGGUGUGAAUGGUACCAUCUAGAGGGAAGGACAUACCAGAUGAAAGAUGAUGGUUACUUCAAGAGCAUUAACAUCCAAGGCCGAUGGUAUAAGAAUGAUCCUUUCAUUCUUGCCACAGAAGCUUCACAAGUUUUCCUCUUGGAAGAUACAAAGUUAGGUCCAUCUUGGCGUGUGGUACAAGACUUUGGGCAUAGACAUAUAUUUGAUGUCGAUGAGUCUGACAACAACCAACAAAUCCAUGAACAAGUACAGAUGAGAUGUCUAGAGGCAUAUCAAGAAGAGAAUACUUUGUCCAGAGAUGGUACAGUGGGAGACAUUUAUCCUGAUAUGGAUUUGUUGCACAUGGAAAAUGAACCAGGAAGCCCUGUUAGUAGAGACCUUGUCGACAGCAUCCGUCGCAAUCAACAAAUAGCUCAAGGUGAUGAAACAUAUGUUGUAGAUGAAGAAGAAGAAGAUGAAACCUUCCUUGAGUACCAUAGUCCAGAUGAAGGCAACAUGUCAGAGGACUACAGUGAUGGUGACUAACCUUCGCAUUUUUCUACCAAUUUGUAGUCCACUCACUCUUGUUAGUGCUCCUGUUGUAUUUGUCAACUUCUACCAUUGAUGAUGACUAACUAUUGCAUUUGUAGAACCAUUUGUGCACUAUGAACUUGUAUGAGUGAUUCUGUUUCCACUGUAUACUUGAUGUGUCAAAAAAGUUACAGUUCUCAGAAACAUUCACAUAAAUCUGCCCAGAUUUUUAGGUUAUAAUGACACAGGACAAUGUCAUGAAAUGCAAAUAAUUUGUCAUGCAAUGUAGAAAUUUUGUCACAAAAUGUACUGGCCAGAAAAAACUUCCUAGAUUUCUCUGUUAUCAUGACCAAAGACAAUGUCAUUAAAAGUACACAAGCUAUCACAAAAGAUACAUGCACACAACAGAUGUCCAAGGGGACAAAGGCCCAUAGUUCAUAACAAAGACAAAUCUAGCAUAAUAGGUUCAUUACAUCAUUUUCACCAACACCCUGCUUCAUCAGCCUUGCCUACUUGAACACUACAGCUAGCACCAAACAGAUGCCCAACACCUUCAUUAGCCUUGCCUACUUGAACACUACAGCUACAACCAAUAAAAUGGCCAACAGUAGAAACAGUGUUACAUUCACACAUCCACAGACUAGACAUAUGCAGCUUGCCAUGCCAUCCUUGUUCUUCACUACCACUUCAUUCAGCUUGUUCAGGCUUUGGGUGAAGCUUUCAAUCUUGCCUACGUCCAUGGCAACUUUUGUCGUCCUCGCAGCUGAUUGUAUAUAUCCAUUAUCCUAUAGAUAGAGCACAUAUUCUUCCUCAAACCAAUAGCUAGAACAUGUCACCUGCACCACAUUGCAAAUCAAUUAAAUUUGGUCAACGAAGAUUAAAAAUUGGGGUCCAAAAAACUGUCACAGCCAACAGCACUCACAUAGCUUUGCCUAGCACACUUGAAGUAUCUUUUUUCACGGUUAACCUCAGAUUUCAUGGUAGUGGCAGCAAGCACCCUCCUAUCCUUACAUUCAGGGCACUCUAUCAAUGGCAACUUCGACACUUCAUCAAUUGGCGCCUCCGGAUCGACAGUUCCAGACAUGUCAGGUGGUGAUGUCCGCCGAGUGCGAGCAGUACAUGACGACACCUGAGACAUGAGGCCUGAUUGAGAGACAUGGGCUCAUUAGGUCAUCGACAAAUAUUUCCUCAUGAAAAGCAUGGACAAUUUAUCAUUGCCAUUGGAAAUAAGCUUAGAAUAGCUACAACAUGAACAACAGCAGCAGCACUAGCUUGGACUUGAGCUCAGGUAAAUUAAUUAGAAGGACAGCUACUAAUAAUCAUUCAAUCUACAUGAAUUCUCUAUGUUGUUGGACACUCCUAGCUGCACUUGAACGCCGAUUGAGACUGGUAGAUGACGAGGCCUGAGACAUUAUCACUAAAUAAAAUGGAUAUUAAUUAGGCAUAGCAUUACACAUCAAUUAGGGAAGAUAACUCUGUGAAACAAAACAAGUUGAGGGAGAUGAGCAGAGGGGGGACGCGGAGGGGGAUGAGGGUGCAUCGAAGGUGUCCGAGAGGGGGAAGAGGGUGGGUGGCACCUGGGGAGAAGGCCAGAGCCUGGCGCGCCUAGGAUUGGAGAGAGGGAUAUACCUACCUCCACCGGUGCCUUGGUCCCCGCUGAAAUCACCGAGAUGCUGCCCUAGACUCCGCCCACCAGCGCCCAAACGCCGCCACGCUGUCGACGGGGAAGAGGGAUAGGGGACCCGCCGCACCGUCCUCCACCACUCGCCGUCGGCCCCUCGCUCCGUGCUCACCUCCCUCCGCCACGCCCGCAGCGACCUCGCCUCCCUCCCUCAAUUCAGUUGACGCCGGGAAGAUGGGGAAAGUGAAGUGGUCAACGUAUAUGGAUAGGGUCGACCUACAAGGAGUAUAUUUACUCUGUGAAUGGCAUUUUUGGAACUUACUUAUUGUGACACAAUUUAAACAUCACAUAAAGUCACACCAUAGUGUCAUAAAAGGACAAACGACGACGGGUGCCCCGUGUUUGGCAAUUUGUGACGAACCUGAUGACCUUUAUGUGACAUAUUAGACACUAUCGUCACAAAUACAUCUAGGUCUCACAACUUUGUGACGACACAAAAAAUAUCGUCAUAUAAAGCCAUAUUAUGUGACAAAAACUUUCCCCGUCAUAAGCUAUUUUGUCACAAAAAGAUAGAUUUCUUGUAGUGUGGUGGAAGGUAAUAUGAGUAAGUUUAAAUCUUAACAGUUUACCCUAACCUAUAGAUGAGAUUUUGUUUAAAUGCAUGUGUACCUUUAAGGCAUAAAACCACUGCAGAAACUCUUGAGUCCAUCCUUGCUCAGGGGCGAGCAAGAGGUAAGCUUGGGGGAGUUGUUGACGGUCCUUAAGUACCAAAUAUAAUCAUCAAAUAAACAAAGAAAAGGAUCCAAAUACAACCAACAUCUAAACUUAGGGUUUUAUCUGACAGAAUUCCACGAGUUUUGGUGUUUGUCUAUUUCUACAGGGUGUUAUCAGAAAAUAAGGAAGAAAGGCCCACAUGUCGGGUUUACAUAGAGAUAUUAUCGUGCCGCGCAAUUUUCUAUCAUCUGGAAGACUCCAGAAGCCAUGCACAAAAAAAAGAAGACUCCAGAAGACACGGGAACGAAUGGGAGGCCGAACGGGCCUGGGGGCAGGGUGCCCGCCCUCCCCCCUUAGGCGCCCACCCUGGAGUUUCAACCAAUCACGCUCAAUCUCAUGGAUUAUGCUCCACCGACCUAAAGGAUCAAGAAUAACCAUUCAAACAAUGUCGGUUUGAUCCGACGGCCCAGAUUCACUUGAGGGGACUAUAUAAGCAGACCCCCUGGCCCCUAAAGGAGGCACCCAUUGAUCAUUAUUCAUUAUUCAUAGACAGAGCAAAAGCUAGGGUUUAGAGAUGAGAGCUCUCCUCUCUUCUAUAAACUAGAGUAGAUCUAGAUAGUAGCGAGAUGGAGAGUGAAGGAGGAUUAGAGGAGAGGCUGGCCUGUCGGUUCUUCCUCUGGUUGUACUUCGCCAUGAUCAAGCUCUAAUCAAGCUUGCUCAUGGGAUGACUCUGGUAAUCUACUUCUAAUUCAUUAUGCAAUUAGUAAUCAUGUAUGUUCUGGUUCACAACUCUUUUGAGUACUUCUAAUCUAUAGGACCCUAUAGGUUAGAGUUGUAGUAUAGGUGUAAGCGUGGUGCUUAGACCUAGAUUACUUGUGGAUAUCCCCUGUCUAGCUGGAUCGUGUGGUAGGCCGCGUAGGUGACAGUUACGUUGGUCCUCUGUAGUCCACCUCUCGUUAGCAGGAUGGGUAGGGUUUAUCGGCCUAUGGAUAAGCAUCAUUUGUGGUGUACUCUUAUCACGUGGUUCGUCCCAGACAUAGACAUACCCCUUUGAAGUAGAGAAACCAUAGUUAUCCUCACUAUUCUGCUACCAUCGCCCAUAUACUAGAUUGCUCAACUCUCUAUUCCCCUAUUAUUACCCAUUGUUAUCUUACCUUUAAUAUUGUUCUUAUUCAAUUCUACCAUCUUUCCUAUUUACACUUAUCUAUCUAUCUUGGUUAAGUUAGAGCGUAGUUGGUUCUCCCGUUUUCCUGUGGAUACGAUAAAACCUUUAACCGGGUAAAAGCUUCAACGGUAUCCGUGCGCUUGCGGAUUAUCUGUGUGCGUAUAAAUACCAUAGUACACUCUAGUGCCAUGCUGGGGAUGACAACCUAGUAUUCAAGUGGUGUUAGCAAGUGUCAACACUAAACUUCAUAACAGUUCACUCUAAUCUGGAAGAAUUUUUAUGUAAAAGCAUGUGUGCCUGUCAGGAAAGAAAACAUCGAAGCAACUCUUGAUCCAUCUGAGUUUAGCUGUUUGCUCAGGGACGAGCAAAGGGUAAGCUUGGGGGAGUUUGUUGACGGUCCUUAAGUACUAAAAUUAAUAAUCAAAUAAACAUGGAAAAGGAUCAAUAUGAAACAAACAUCUAGAAUUAGGGUUUUAUCUGACAGAAUUCCACGAGCUUUGGUGUUUAUCUAUUUCUGCAGGGGGUUAUCAGAGAAUAUGUAGUGAAGGGCCACAUGUCAUGUUUACAACGAGAUAAUUACGUGCCGCGCAAUUUUCCUCAAUCUAGAAGAGUCCAGAAGCCACGGGAAGGAAGCGGAGGCCGAACGGGGCCAGAGGCAGGGCGCCCGCCCUCCUGCCCUGGGCGCCCGCCCUGGGAUGGACUCCAAUCAGGACUCUGUUUCGGGGCUAAACUCCACCGACCUAAAGGAUCAAUCUAAACCAAACAAUCAAUGUCGGUUUGAUCUGACGGCCCAAAUCAUUAUUCAGAGGUAGCCAUCAAAGUUAGGGUUUAGAGCUUCUCUCCCACAGAGAAUUAGAAUUAGCUACUCCCUAAUCCUUCAAGUUUAGAGGUUUGAUUAGAUAGCAAUUAGAGAAGUAGAGCACUACGCUCUGGAUUUGGAUCUUCGGUAAUAAAGAUUGGUAUUAUUCAUAUCUUUCUCUAAUUCUUUGUUCUAAUUGCAUUAUGUCUCUAAUUAUUAUGUUCUUAGUUUGCUCUAGUUCUAUAUUUGAUAUAGUUAUGAUUGAUAAUGAGUUUAUGUAUAAGUUUGCAAAGCGCUUAACUCUUGACGCGAGGGAGUUAGGUGAUAGAUCACAUGUGACCGUGGUGCUUAGAUGUUAUUUAUCUGCAAAUGUAUCCUAUUGGCCGGGUCGUGUGGUAGUUCGCGAUAGUGACAGCUUCGUUGAUUCUUAUAUAGUCCACAAUCCGUUGAUAGGACAGGCAGAACCGGUAUUGUGGAGUAAGUCGUGCGAUGCUCUGAUUUACUUUAGCAAUGUUCCUUAUACAUGAAUGAAGAGUCUUUUAUGCUAUAUAUGAUCUUGUAGAUAACUAGAGUAGAUUAUGACUUAGUAGUUAGUAGAUAACUUAGAAUCCAUUCUCUAGCUAAUCUGACAUCACCUACAUAUAUGAGGAGUAGUCUAUUUUCUAAUCGAUGUGUUAUUUAUCCCUUGAACUUAUAAUUCAUUAUCAUUAUCUUUAUGGUUUACCCCCUGCUAAAGUAAGUGACUGUGUGACGAAUUUCUCAUUAGUAAUCAUGUUCUUGCAAGUUUAUCUCUAGUCUAUGCCUUGAUAGAUUUUGUCCUUAUCUUAAUUUCAUUCCUUAUCCCCUUGAGCAAAAUUAUAAAUAACGAUACCUGGAAUACUUAUCCUGGUGAAAUGCUACAAUGAGGUGUUUUAUCUGUGCGCUUGCGGAUAGAAUAGAUUAUUUUCUAGAGAGCCUUUACAUUUAUAAAUACCUUUGUACACUCUGGCACCAUGCUGGGGAUGACAACCUAGUAUCUAAGUGGUGUUAGCUAGUGUCAACAGCUGCUAACAGAGAUGAAUUAAGGGUUCGGUUGUUUUCAUCAUCCCUAUCUAGAUUGGCUUUUACUUGGUUUAUAUUGUUGCCUCCAAACUCUAUUAUUACUUGGGCUGAUCUGGAAAAAUAGUUCCAUAAAUAUUUCUUCUCCGGGGUUCAUGAGAAGAAGCUUACCGAUUUAGGGAGACUAAGACAAUGUAAUGAUGAAUCGGUAGAGCACUUUGUGCAGAGGCUGCAAGAUGUGAAGAAGAAGUGCUAUAGUCUGGUUUACGAUGAUCGGCAGCUGGCCCAUCUGGCUUUUCAAGGGUUGUUGCCACAUCUCAAGGAUAAGUAUGCUUCUCAAGAAUUUGAAAGCUUGAGUCACCUAGUUCAAAGAAUUUCUGAUCAAGACACUAGGGUUUCUGAGCCUAGAAAGAAUUGGAAUAAAAAGGUAUCAUUUGUCGAUGAGGCAGAAGAUUCUGAUUCCGAUGAGGAGCUAGUUAUCGGCUUAGCAGAAUGGGUAAAAAACAAGAAACCAAUAUCUUGUCCCUUCGGUCAGAAAGAGCCAGAUAAUUUCUCUUUUGAUGUCACUAAAGCCGAUAGGAUAUUUGACCUCUUGCUUCAGGAGGGACAGAUUAAGUUAUCACCAAACCAUGUGAUUCCAUCGGCAGAGGAGUUGAAGAAGAUCGAGUAUUACAAAUGGCAUAAUGCAACUUCACACAGUAUGAAUGAGUGCAAAGUGUUUAGGCAACAAUUGCAAUCGGCUAUAGAAUCUGGGAGAAUCAAGUUUGAUGGCUCUAAGACUAAGAAGCCGAUGAAAAUUGAUCAGCAUCCCUUUCCAGCAAACAUGUUGGAUGCCAAAGGCAAAACUAAGAUCCUAACAUCAGAAAUUGUUGAGAAGAACGCAUUGGUGGAUCCCCAACAUUAGGUAACUACCGAUGAUGCAAAAGGAAAGGGUCUGUUAAAGGAAAGUGGUAGUCCUGGAAGACUUCCCUGAUCUAGCAUCAUGAUCACCCAUAGGCGACAGCAGGAGACAUGGCAACAGCGUGAAGACCAAUAUCGACGGCAGCAAGAAGAAAAGCGUCGGGGAGAGUGGAAUCGGCAUAAGGAUCAUUGGGAUUGCCCGUUCUUUGUUCAUUAUUGGGAACGGGGUAUCAAGUUGCCGAUAGUUAAGAGUUGCCCUGAGUGCAAUGGUUAUUAUUGGAACAAUCGGCCAGAAAGGGGGUUCUGACAUGAUAGUCGAGGUCUGUCCAUUAAUGAGCCGAUCAGAGGCAGGGCAUCAGUAUAUGAUCGGCUGGGGGGCAGGCUCAAUGUGCAUGAAUGACUGGGUAGAUGCGUUGAGUAUCUUCCAAGGAAUUAAGAAGAUUUGGAAGAAAUGGCAAAUGCUAGACUUCCUGAUGAGGAUAUAUUCUACAGAGAUCCCAAUAUACGUCGUGUGGACUCAUCUGAGGUUCAUUAUCAGCCGGUUUUGAAAACCAAGCUCCCCAGAUGGUGUCGAGAGGGUUUAACAUGGACACAAAGGAGGAGGAUGCAACGGUAAUGAUAGGAAGAUUUGUGCAGGGAGAGAAUUCUUCUAAGUCUGGGAAUCGGCAGCAGUCAGAUUACAAGGGGAAAGGUCCAUCGGCAGAUGUUAAUAUGGUAUUCAUGUUGCCGAUGGAGUUCCUUGCGCCUUCCAAUGAUGAUGAAGAAAUCAUCUCUCUGAUCAGAUGGCUCUGUUGGCGCUUGAUCCGAUGAUGGCUGUUUUUGAGAAGCCAACUGAUCAUGAAAGACAGCAUAUCAAGGCUUUGUUCAUUAAAGGCAGGGUUGAUGGACGACCAGUAUCUAAGAUACUGAUUGAUGGAGGAGCUGUGAUUAAUAUCAUGCCUUAUGUAAUGUACCAGAAGCUUGGCAAAGGAGAUCAGGAUCUGACCAUGACCUAUAUGAUGCUAAAAGAUUUUGAGGGCAACGUGUCACCAGCUAAAGGGGCAGUAUGCGUUGAGUUGACCAUCGGCAUCAAGACCUUGCCAACAACGUUCUUUGUCAUUAAUGGUAAAGGCGCAUACAAUCUGCUUUUGGGAACAGAUUGGAUCUAUGCCAAUUGUUGUGUUCCUUCUAUGAUGCAUCAAUGCCUUGUUCAGUGAGUUGGAGACAAGAUUGAGGUUGUCCCUGGUGAUUCUUCCUAAAUCAUUGCGUCGGCAGAGUCAAACACUUAUGAGCGGACCAAGUGUAUAUCAGGAGAAGCCUGGGAGAAAGAUUUCCUUAGAGUUGCCGAUUAUGAGAUUCCACCGAUCCAAGCAGAUGGUUCUAAUGAUGGAUAGAUUCGCUGAUGAUGGAAAGUUAGGACAGGGUUUCAUAUUGGCUGAUGAUUUAGUAGAAGUAGAUAUUGGUAGUGGAGAUAGACCAUGACCUACUUUUAAUAGUGCUAAGUUAAAUUCUGAGUGUAAGCCACAAUUGACUGAUUUGUUAAAGGAAUAUAAAGAUUGUUUUGCUUGGGAUUAUACUGAGAUGCCUGGAUUAGACCGAUCAAUUGUUGAACAUCGGUUACCUAUCAAAUCUAGAUUUUAGCCACAUCAGCAACUAGCGCACCGAUGUAAGUGUAACCCUAAUAUUCUUCCUGAUAUCAAGGCCGAAAUUACCAAGCUAAUUGAAGCUAAGUUUAUUUGGCAAUGUCGGAAUACGGAGUGGAUUUCUAAUGUUGUUCCUGUCUAUAAGAAAAUGGAAAGCUUCACAUAUGCAUUGAAUUCAGGAAUCUCAACAAGGCCACACCGAUGGAUGGCUAUCCGAUGCCUUGCCGAUCUGCUAGUUGAUGCUACAGCAGGGCAUCAGAUUAUUAGUUUGAUGGAUGGCAAUGCAGGAUACAACCAAAUAUUCAUGGCUAAAGAGGAUAUUCCCAAGACUAUUUUUAGAUGUCCUGAUCAUGUUGGUUUAUUUGAAUGGAUAUUUAUGACUUUUGGUUUAAAGAAUGCCGGUGCGACUUAUCAAAGGGCCAUGAAUUUUCUUUUUCAUGAGUUCAUCGGCAUGCUAGUGGAAAUCUACAUUGAUGAUAUGGUGGUUAAGUUUGGGGACUUUGCAAAAUAUCUAGCUGAUCUAUGAAAAAUACUUGUGUGCACAAGGAAGCAUGGUUUGAAGAUGAAUCCUAAUAAAUAUGCAUUUGGUGUAUCGACAUGCCAAUUCUUGUGUUUCAUGGUGCAUUAGAGGGGGAUUGAGAUUAGUAGAAGAUCCAUUGAUGCAAUUAACAAGGUGGUUGCUCCUGCCGAUAAAAUUGAAUUGCAAUCAUUGAUCGGCAAGAUUAAUUUCAUCAGGAGGUUCAUAUCUAAUCUAUCGGGCAAGAUUAAAGCUUUUAGUCCACUGCUCAAAUUAAAAGCCGAUCAAAAGUUUGUGUGGGGGGUUGAACAGGAGUUAGCUUUAGAUGAAAUUAAGAAAUAUUUGAUAAACCCUCUGGUCUUAGUUCCACCUCAGCACGGAAAGCCUUUCAGAUUAUAUUUAUUGACCAAUGAUACUGUUAUCGGUUCAGCCCUUAUUCAAGAAUUUGAGGGGAAGGAGUGUGUCAUUUAUUAUUUAAACAGAAGAUUGGCGGAUGUUGAGAGAAGAUAUUCAGCUAUCGAGAAACUGUGCUUAUGUUUAUAUUUUGCUUGCAUUAAAUUAAGGCAUUAUUUGCUAUCGACCGAAUAUACUGUCAUAUGCAAAGAUGAUAUGGUCAAAUACAUGUUGUCAAUGCCGAUUUUGAGUGAUAGAAUCGGCAAGUGGAUCUUAGUGCUAUCAGAAUUUGAUCUAUGCUACAAAUCGGCCAAGGUAGUUAAGGGGUAAGUUAUGGCUGAUUUUGUUACUCAACAAUGCAAUGCAGUAGGUUCUAUGGAAGUUUCUCCUUGGACGCUUUUCUUUGAUGGAUCUAUGUGUGAUCAAGGGGCAGGUAUGGACAUUGUAUUGAUUUCACCUCGAGGAAGGAGGUAUGAGUUUUCAUUGCUGAUUGUUGCUACAUCGACAAACAAACAGGCUGAGUAUCAAGCAUUGGUGAAAGGGUUGGAAUUACUUAGAGAAAUACGUGCCGAUGCUAUUUAAGUCUUUGGUGAUUCUAUGCUUGUUAUAAAUCAAUUAAUUGGGAUUUAUGAAUGCCGGAGCGAAAUUUUAAUUUCAUAUUAUGAAAGAUGCUUGCAAUUGUUGAAAGAAUUUAAAGAUUUCCGUCUAGAACAUUCCCCGAUUACAUAAUGAAGAAGCUAAUCGGUUGGCUCAACACGCCUCGAUAUAUCAACCCACCCUAGAAGUACUCACAUCAGCAGUUGGUGCCGAUGACUAGAGAACGGAAAUCGUCGAUUACUUGAAAGACCCAUCUAAGAAAGUUGAAAGACGCAUUAGAUUUCAAGCCACUAAGUACGUGCUUCUCGAUGAUGAGUUGUAUUAUCAAACUUUGUAUGGGCUUUUUACUCAGGUGCCUUGGCAAUGAUGAAUCAAAGAAUUUGAUGGGUGAAAUUCAUGAGGGAGUGUGUGGAGCACAUCAAUCGGCUUUCAAAAUGAAGUGGCUGAUCAGAAGGAACGAAUAUUUUUGGCCAACUAUUCUUGAAGAUUGUUUUAAAUAUUUCAAAGGAUGCCAAGGAUGUCAAAAGUUUGGUAAUAUCAAAGAGCGCCUGCAUCGGCUAGGAACCCUAUCAUUAAACCCUGGCCGUUCCAAGGAUGGGCUAUUGAUCUUUUCGGUCGGAUUUAUCCGCCAUCAAGCAAAAGGCAUAAAUUUAUACUCGUCGCCACCGAUUAUUUCACUAAGUGGCUUGAAGCAAUUCCUUUGAAAAAGGUGACAUCAGCCAGUACGAUUGAUUUUGUAACGGAGCAUAUAGUUUACUGAUUUGGUAUUCUUCAAACAAUCACUACCGAUCAGGGUACUAUGUUUACAUCGGGAGAAUUUGAUGAGUUUGCAAUCGGUAUGGGAAUUAAAGUUUUAUAUUCUUCUCCUUAUUAUGCUCAAGCUAAUGGGCAGGCCAAAGCCUCUAACAAAGGGAUCAUUAAACUAAUUAAGCGUAAAAUUGAGCAAAACCCUAGGCGGUAGCAUACAAUGUUAAAUGAAGCCCUGUGGUCAUAUCGGAUGGCUUGCCAUGGUGCAACUAAAGUGUCGCCUUAUCAGUUGGUAUAUGGGCACGUUGCAGUAUUACCUUGGGAAAUUAAAACUGGCUCUAGGCGGAUAUUUUCUCAAGAUCAGUUGACUGCCGAUGAUUAUAAUAUUCUAAUGAAGGAUGAGUUCGAAGAUUUGGCAAGUCAUCGGUUGAAAGCUUUGGUUAGCAUUGAAGAAAAUAAGAAGAGAGUGGCCAGGUGGUAUGAUAAAAGGGUAAAAGCUAAAGAGUUUGCUGAUGGAGAUUUAGUUUUGAAAUUGAUUCUACCGAUUAGGGCUAAAAGUUUUAAGUUUGGUAAAUGGUCUCCUAAUUGGGAGGGUCGUUAUCGGAUAAGUCGAUCUGCUCCUAGCAAUGCAUAUAUAUUAGAAACCCUCGAAGGGAUUGAAUUUCCCAGAGCGUUAAGUGGAAAGUAUUUAAAGAAAUACUACCCGAGUAUUUGAGUUGACGCAUGAAAGUUUAAGUGCUGAUAACAAUCCUAUUGGCUGGACAAAAUACUAGUGUUUAUAAAGAGGACUGAUGCAACACGCUACUGAUAAAGAAAUUUACAAGCCUAGCAAAGUCCGAAUGGCCGAUAUUGGGUGUAAGCGAGUCUGGUUGGCUUCCUCUAUUUCUUUGGUGUCUUCAUCGGCUAAACCCUCCACUAGCUUAAGUUUCUUCUUCAUCAGGAGUGCUUUGCGAGCUUGGGUGUCUCUUUCUUGCUGAAGGCCUUUGAUUUUGUCGGGCAGCUGACUUUCUUCCUAUACAGUCUGAGUCAAUGCUUCUUCAACUUGCUUAAGUUCAGCUAGCAGAGCUUCCUUCCUUGCCGACAGAUCUAAGAUCUUCUGCUUCCACUCGGUGCCUGAAGCCUGUAAAUUGCCGAUGCUCUUAUGCUUCUCAUCGGCAAUGUGCUUCACUUGCAGCAUUUCUUCUUUAAGUUGAGCCAGGGUAGCUCUAUCGGUAAUGCGUUGUGCGGCUUUUUGAUAUUGAAGUUGACGACUCUCCAGAUGGGCAGCUUAGAAAAGUGCUUCUUCAACAUCGGCAGGGACCUGGCCACACAUUGUCUUGAAGAUAGCUUUUGCUGGGUCAAAAUCAUCCUCCAGUUGAGCUGUAUCUUGCUGCAAUAAGCCCAACAGAUCCUCAAACUUGGAUUUGACUUCCGCCAAUACUAUUCCAUGCACCAGUGAAGAGCUUGCCUCUUCUCCUUCGUCAUCAGAAAUCUUGAUGGCAAAGGAGAAUAGGCUGUCGGGAGAAUCUUGCUCCCAAGGAGGAUAGAGGGAGUAAAUCAGUUGGAGGUGAGCAUGAAUAUUGCAAAUAUGAAGAUCGGUCAAGUCAGAUAGCUUACUUGUUUUAAGACAAUUUCUUGCCUUUGGCUAGAGGAUGUAAUCUUGAUUGUGUCUUGAGGAGGAUCAGCUGGAUCUGCCCAUGGAAUAUCUUUAGUUGUAAAAUCGGUUAAUGCUAAGAAUGAUGAUAAUUUCUUUACAAGUUCAUCGGUGAUAAUUUCUUGGAUAGCCAAUAUUAUACCUUGUGUGGAAGCAAUAGUCAUCGUCUCAGGAACGACGGUCGAUGACGUGCCUUGGUCAGACGGGUCAAUUGUUUGCUCAGGUGCAUCGGCCGGUUCAGAUUGAUUGGGAAGCACUGACUGAGGUGGAGAGGAUUGUGUCGCUUUCUGCCAUUUUGGCUGAGUCUUAGUGCUUGUCGGAGGUUUCAACUUGGGUUGAGCUUUGGUGGCUACUGGCUGGGGGGGCAUCAGCACUCGACGAAUGAACAUCUUGAGCUCUUGCCGAUGUAUUGGUUUGUUGCUGCAAGGCGCAUGUAAAGCAUAAAUGUCUUAUAAGUUGAAUAUAAAGGCAGGAAAAUAGUUUUGAAAGUUUAUCAAGAGUAAAAGUAUCUGGUGUGGGACAAGUUACCGAUGAUGUCCUAGUUAUGGUCGAUACACCCUAAAAAGAUAGUGUAAGUAUGAACUGAGAUUAGCACAGUUGAAGUAAUUAAGGGUUUUUACCUUGAAAGCUUGUGCUAAGGUGGCAGCUACGACCGAUGGAGUGGCCUUUGAGCGAUUGGUAGUCAUUUUCUUGAAAUGAACUCCUCGGUGCAUCAGAGCUGCCAGAGUGGGUGUUGAUAUUUGGGAAAGCAAUAAGGAAUUGAUCCGCAAGCGCAUGGAUAUCGGUGAGUAUUGACGGUCCUUAAAUAUCAAAUUUAAUUAUCAAAUAAAUAAAGAAAAGGAUCCAAAUGAAAUCAACAUCUAGACUUAGGGAUUUAUCUGAUGGAAUUCCACGAGUUUUGGUGUUUGUCUAUUUCUGCAGGGGGUUAUCAGGAAAUAUGGAAGAAAGGCCCACACGUCGGGAUUACAUAGAGAUAUUAACGUGCCGCGCAAUUAUCUUACAUCUAGAAGACUCCAGAAGCCACGAGACCGAAGCGGAGACGAAACGGGGCCAGAGGCAGGGCACCCGCCCUGUUCCCCUGGGCGCCUGCACCCUCCCUGAGUCCAAUCAGGACUCUGCUUCGUGGGAGAUCUUCACCGACCUAAAGGAUGAAUCUAAACCAUACAAUCUAUGUCGGUUUGAUCCAACAGCCCAUAUUCACUUGAAGGGACUAUAAAACCAGACCCCCUGGCCCCUGGAGGAGAGAGCCUCUCAACCCUAAUUCAUUAUUCUCAAGGGAGAAGAAGCCUCUGAUCAAGAUUAGAGCCACCACAUCAAUUAGAUAUCUAGAUUAGCAUAGCUACAUAGGAUUAGAACUAGGAGUCAAUCUUCGAUUGGUUUCCGGAUCUGUCAAGAGGAUUCUUGGUAAUUCUCUAAUUGUGCUUCUAAUUGUUUUCUAAUUAUCUUUGUUCUUCAAUAUUAUGAAUAUGACUUUGUUCUACUUCAAUAUAUUGCUUAUGACUUUGCUCUACUUGCUUAUAUUCAAGAUUGUAUUGUUCUUAGUUUAUCAUAGUUAUGUACUUGGCUUAGUUAGAUUGGAUCUAUAUACAUGCUUAGGAUCGUAUAGCGUUUAUCCAUCGGAUCCAUGGGUAAAUGAUAGAUAUUGUGUAGGCGUGGUGCUUAUACCGUAUUUAUCUGCGAUUGUACCCAAUAUGCCAGAUCGUGGGGUAGUUCGUGAUAGUGACAGCUUCAUUGAUUCUUAUAUAGUCCCCCUCUCGUGUGUUGGGCUGGCAGAGCAAUAUUAUUAUAGGGGAGUGAUUGCUAUGUUUCUCAUUUACCUUGCUAAUAUCACUAUGCAUGGGCGUAGUCUUGUCUCACAAUGAUUGCUAAGUAUGCUUGCACUAACUAUGAUAAUGCUAGACUAUAUAGUUGAGAAUAACUUAGGAAAUAUUCUUGUAGUUCGUUCUAAUUCCAUGCUAAUGACUUUCUAGAGUAUCUAAUUGAGGUGCUUAUCAUAUUUAUAUGUGGCUGAUCAGAUCAAUUAUCUUUGUCACUAUUCAUUAUUUCAUAUAUCUUUUAUGUGACACUUAUCCCUGUAUGAAGAGUUAGAUAAAUGUUCUCAAUUACAUAUGCAAUGAUAGAUACUCAAUCUCAUAUUCUAUUCUGUAAUCAAUAUUGAUGAUUGCUAAUCCCUUCCCAGUGGUAAAAAUAUAAAUAACGAUACCUAGAAUACUUCCCGGUUAAAAUGCUACAUCGGUAUUAAUCAGUGCGCUUGCAGAUCCCAUUCAUUAUUUAUUUAGAAGAGCAAUUGCAUAUUUCAAUACCGCGUCUCUUAUAUCAUGCUGGGGAUGACAACUUGGCUUAAGUGGUGUGAGGGAUAGGUUUGGCAUUUUUGGCACCGUUACUAGAUUUAGAGAACUUAGUCUACUUUUGGUAACGAUGUUAAGAAUACCCAACAAGUAUUUUUGGCGCCGUUGCCGGGGAAGGUUGAUUACUAAUCAAGAAUGGAAUAAAGGAUUUUGAGUUAUCAUUCGCAUCACUAAUUUGAUUGAGCUUAUCUAUUCUCUCUUACAGUUUUACCCCGAUAUUUUUCUAUUUUAUCUUAUGCAGGGGAAUGUAUGAAUAGAAGACAUCUUUCAGGAAAUUUUGUUUACAAUCCCGAAGCAUUAUUCAAGAAGACAAGAGCCAAGCUCAAGAAGAGCUCAUCAACACUUCAGCAAGAAGCUUCAUCCAAUCAAGAAGAUCACCGGAACUUGUCUUCAGAGUUCGAAGCCAUGGCGAACAAAUCAAUCCGUGAGUUCUCAGCUCCCACUACUGACAACAUCCGCACUGGACCUGCUGCAGAGAUCGACGACAACUUUGAGCUCAAGCCUGGACUUAUCAACAUGGUGCAAUCCAACCAGUUCUGUGGGAAGGCACACGAAGAUGCUAGUGCUCAUCUACAACACUUCCUAGAGAUUUGCAACACAUUCACCAUAUCAGGAGUUUCCAAAGAUGCUAUACUACUUCACCUCUUCUCAUUCUCACUAUUAGGAAGAGCGAAGCAGUGGUUCUACGCUACAAAGGAGAAGAAUACUACAUAGGCACUCUGCUCAACAAACUUCCUGGCUAAGUUCUUUCCCAUGGGCAAGACCAAUGCUCUCUGUGGGAAGAUUACAAGUUUUCAACAACAAAAUGACGAAUCUAUUCCAGAAACAUGGGAGCGCUUCGAAUACUACAUCCUAGAAUGUCCCCAUCAUGGAAUGGAGAGUUGGCUAUUGAUGCAGACGUUUUAUCAUGGGCUCAGCAACAGUGCCCGAGAGACCAUGGAUGCUGCAGCUGGAGGAGCAUUCUUAUCACUUACUAUACCACAAGCCACAGCUCUUGUGGAGAAGAUGGCGUCCAACCAAAGCUGGAAUGAAGAGAGGACCCAGACACGCAAGAGAGGUGGAGGUAUGCAUCAGCUCAAGGAGGUAGACAUGCUGUCUGCAAAGCUAGACCUGCUCAUGAAGAAGCUCGACGAUAGAGCUGGAGAUAAGAAAGAAGUGAUGCACAUCUACGACUCUCACAUGACUUGUGAGGAGUGUGGAGACACUGGACACUUAGGCAAUCACUGCCCUGAGAUACUUGAGGAUGUGAACUACGUCAACAAUAACAACAACAACUACUACAACCGUCCUCAACAAAAUCAAGGUUGGAAUCAACAGAGGCCUAACUACUCAGGUAAUUAUCAAGGUAACAAUUCUUACAACAAUAAUAAUAAUUUUCCACCUCUGAGAGAGUUAGUGUCUAAUCAAGGAAAGCUAAUGGAUAACCUAUCUAAGAAAUUGGCAUCUAAUGAUAAAAUACUAGAAAAUAUAAAUAAUAGAAAGGAAAGUUUCUCUACUGCCAUCAAGAAACAAAUUAGCUUUAAUAAAAUGAUUGAAUCUCAGUUAAAUCAAAUAGCUGCUGUUGUUCCUACUACUAACCCCGGUAUACCAUAACAACCGGAAGGAUUAGAAUCUGCAAAUCUUGUAGACAUGUUUGAUGCAGGCAAUAAUUGGAGUAACCCCGUCACUGAUUUCACUACUGACCUUUUGCCGGUCAAGAGAGGUGAUCCAGGACGCCCCGUCAUCCCGAUCUCCAUCGGCAUGGUGGAUGUCCCAGAAGCACUCUGUGACUUUGGCUCCAGCAUCAACAUUAUACCCAGGGUACUCUAUGAAAAAUUCUUUACAUAUCCUUUAUUAGAAACAACCAUGUGUUUGCAGUUUCCAGAUCAGACGAUAACUUUUCCCAAAGGAAUAGUGAAGAACCUCUGUGUCCGAGUUGGUACCUUAUAUACCCCAGCAGACUUCGUAGUGGUAGAGACCGGAAAUGAUGAGAGGGCAUCUAUCAUCUUAGGGAGGCCAUUCUUGAACACCACGGGAGCUGUCAUCUACGCUAGUGCUGCCAAGAUCAGUUUCUACAUCAAAGGGAGGAAGGAAACAUUUUUCUUCAAGAACAAGACUACACAAAUCCCAGAUCAAUCCAGACGUGAAUCAAGGAAGAGGACCAACAGGAGAAACAGGAACAAGCAAGUGUGGACCGAGUCAGCUAAGAUGGUCACUGUAGUUCAUGGAGGUCAAGAGCAUCAACUUAAGUCACCAUUUUUGACCAAGAAGAACGACCCAGGAAUGCCAAGCAUCUAUUGCUCCAUAAAUGGAUACAGCUUCUACAAGACGUUUUGCGACACCAGAUCGGGCGUCAACAUAAUGGCCUGUUGGGUAUUUUAAACGCAAACAGAAAAAUCCGCAAGCGCACGGAUACCGAUGUAGCUUUCACCUGGGAGUAUUCCAGAGUAUCGAUUUUCCACAGAGAACGUGAGUGUACUAAUUAAGAUCCAAGAUCGCCCAAGGAUAACUAUAUAAUUAUUUUUUGUGGGAAGAGAGGAAGUUUCCUGAGAGUUCUCUAGUUGAUCUAAGAAUCAAGAAUUACUUAAAGAUUAUCUAUAUCUGGACAUCAGAGCACUAACCACAGAAAGAGAUGAGAAGGGGGCUACGAAGGUUUGACUACGGUCCUACAAACACCGAUCUGAAUGAGGUGGAAUACGUCGACCGUUAGGGCUGUCACUACCCUAAGGUUACCACAACAAUCCGCAGGAUUGGGUGCAAUUCCAGGUAAUCGCAAGACUAAACAUCACGUCUAAUCUAUUAAUUACUACUCUAGCGUUAUAAAGACUAGAGCACUUGAUGCAAGCGGGAAUCCAAUAAAUAACUUGAAUGUAAAUAAAAGUAAUUAAAGAACUCAGGAUUAUGAAUUGAAGAACCUGGAAAAGUAUAAUGUUAAGGAAGAUCCGACAGAUCCGGCUCCUCCUCCGCUCUCCUCUUCUCUCUCCCUAUUUUCUAGAUUACAACUAGAACUAACUAGAACUAGAACUAGAGGAACUAGAACUAGAACUAGAUGAACUAGAACUAGAACUAGAUGAACUAGAGGUAGAACUAGAUGAACUAGAGGGAUCCUCUCUACUUGGAUGAAGAAUUGAAACCCUAGCUUUGAUUCUGUAGAAGAGGUAUGAUCUCCAGGGGCCAGGGGGGUCUGGUUUUAUAGUCCCUUCAAGUGAAUCUGGGACGUCCGAUCAAACCGACAUUGAUCGUGUGGUUUUCCUUGAAGUAUUAGGUCGGUGGAGCAUGAUCCCCGAGUUGUACCCUGAUUGGGCAGAACAGGUGGGCGGGCGCCCUCACGACUAGGGCGGGCGCCCUAUCCCUGAGGCCUCUCGUCUUCCGCUUUGUUCCCGUGGCUUCUGGAGUCUUCUAGAUGAUAGAAAAUUGCGCGGCACGUUAAUAUCUCUAUGUAAACCCGACGUGUGGGCCUUUCUUCCGUAUUUCCUGAUAACCCCCUACAGAAAUAGACAAACACCAAAACUUGUGGAAUUCUGUCAGAUAAAACCCUAAGUCAAGGUGUUGGUUGCAUUUGGAUCCUUUUCUAUGAUUAGUUGAUGGUUAAAUGUGAGCAUUAAGGACCGUCAACAAGCUCCCCCAAGCUUAACCUUUGCUCGUCCCUGAGCAAAGAUGAACUCAAGAGUUUCUGCAGUGGCUUCAUAAAUUAAAAUACACAUGCAUUCAAACAAGAUCUCAUCUCUGGGUUAGGGUAACUGUUAAGAUUUAAACUUACUCAUAUUACCUUUCACCAUGGGGCUUGCAACCGUCACUUGUAUCUUGAGUAGUUAAAAGAUAGAACGGUCUAGUCAAGCGCUAUGUCUCUUGUUCUUCGAUUAACUAUAGCUCUGGAGUUUUUGCAGAUUUUCAAAUAAAACUCAGAGAUUCCUUGUAUGACUCUCUCUAGUCUCUCCUUUGUGGUAUUUCUGGAUCCUUACCAAUGCAGUAAUGGUGCACGCCUUCUCUCAAAGUAUGUGGUAUUUUUGGUAUGAAGCAUAGUGGCAUUACCUUCUCUCUCACCCUACUCUAAUAAGGUUUUGAUAUCUGGAGCUCAUAGGUGGGAGACAGCUAAUACAUACUUACAAGACAUUUAUUGCAUAGUCAAACCAUGGAUCCAGAAGAACAAGUCAAUAAGUCAAAUCAAGAUGUGCAUGUGUGGCGAAUGAUGUAUGGUGAUGAUGGUGAUAAUGAUGGUGAAAGUCUAAUUCUACUUUUGCUCUUUUGAGGGGAUACAUACCUUUCUUGCACUUUGAAGCUUUUUGGAGAGAAUGAGAUGCUCUAUAUUUUCUUUUUAUUUCCUCUCAGGUGGGUAUCUUGUACCCCUAAUUCUACUGUCAGACACUUGUCCAUUUUUACCUCUCGUCUCACUUUUUUCUUUUUUCUUCGAGGUUCCGGGCACUUGCCCCUUUUUAUUUCCUCGUAUUCUUCAUUUUUUUUUCUUUUUUUAGAGCACUCAUCCUCCUAGAAUAAUGUGGCAAGUGGUAGUAACCAAGAUAACUCGAGCAUGUAUUUCACAGGGAAUAACAGGGAUAGGAAAAUAUUUUUGGCUAUUCUCUCCCGGAUUAGGAGAAGAAUAAUUUUGGGUGAAUCUGGAGAUGGAAAUGAGUGGAUAUAUGUGGAUGGUACUUCCGGAGUAGAAGUAGCAUGUAUGAGUGAACGUGCAAGUGAAUCUUGAUUUUAACCACAUGACAAGCUCCUAAGGGUCUACACAGCUUGACCACACUCAAUGCUCAUAAGCAGUAAAAAGUAAAUAUGUGGCUCAAAGUCUAGCAAGCAUGUAUAUAUGGCUGUGGUAGGAUUUUAAUCUCUCAUCAUACAGGAACUCAUCAUGUGUUAUUUUAAAGAUUUUUCAAAGAUAAAAUUCUCCAGAAUUCUAGCAUCUCUAGGAACAGAUAAACAGCAGCUCAACCUUCCCAUAUCAUAUCCGUUAACGACUUAGACUUUAGAUCAAGUACUCUUCCCACAAGUUCAGGUUUAGAGCAAAUCUUAAUUAAUAACAGUCAUGCCUAAACUUGAGAGAGAUUUCAAUUUUAAGAACUAGUCAUGGCAGAGCAACUAUUCAUCAUUUCCAUGUGAGAGCUUAUCAUGAGGGUUCAUAGCAAACUUUAUUUAUUUAUUUAUUUAGCAAACUAAGCAAAGAUAUAUAUAAGCACAAAAUCUUUAUUUGGGUUUCUAUGAUUAUUCAUCUUUUUAUUAUUAGAGUAAAGUAUAAACUUGAGUAGAAUACUUAGCUGGAUAAAUGGGGGUGCUCUCCCCCAAGCUGGAUUUUGACGUGGUUUCUUCUAAUGUAGCUAGCAAGUGGUGAAGGUGUAUUUGAAUGUCAGCAGCACCCUAACAGCGAUUAGGAUGUCCUCCGUCUGCUAGUCUACUUUGAUCCUUGAAUUCUGUGGAGCUCAAAUAGACAACAAAGCUUUGUGGAACUAGUUAAGUGUUAGCAUAAAUAUCUAGCCUUUAUGAUGUUGAGCCUCCUCAAUAAAUGUUACUCUCUUUAGUAGGAUCACAAUCUUAUUUAUAUUUCAUUUUUAUAGGACAGGAAUAUAUAUUUAUUUUUACGCCACCACAGUGAAUGUACUUAUGGGUUUUAUGCCAUGAGCAUACUCACAUGGGGCCUACUAUUUUUAACAUUUUUAUUUUCUUUUUAAGAUGGUGUGAACCUGAUUAACUAAGCAAACUAUUUUAAAAUAAUUGAAAGGAAAAAGAUAACUACCAAGUUUACCUCUUGGCAAGGCGUUCGGUGUUUUUAAGUCCUCCGAACGGGACUCUCCAUUUUCUCAUUCGUCCUGGGAUUCGCUGGAUGGCGUAGUCGGUGGUUCCGGCGGUGCUUCCUCUUCGUGUAUAACUAUCUUCUCUCUCCACACCUGAGUCGGUGCUACGUUCUCCUCAGGACAGUUCUGUUCAAGUUGUAUGUCUUCAGACCUUGCUACUUUUCCUUCGUAGUCUGCUCAUCCAUCCUUGAUGAUUUGCCUCCUCUGGUUGCGGUUGCGUCGUCUUCUUCUUGUCCUAACCUGUUUAGAGUCUUGAACUAUAUAGUUAGGGUCAGUAAAAUAGCGGUGUACCUUCUCAGAAGUGCAUGUGGACUUCUCUGGUUCCAAUGUAGAUGAUUGCUUUAACGGUGCUGAGGAAGGGUCUCUUAAGGAUGAUGGAUGGAUCGUACUCGUCUUCUCCCAUGUCAAUAACCUUAAAAUCAUCUGGAGCUGAAUGUAUGUUGGUUGUAGGGGCAUGGUUCCAUGCAGGAGUUGAUAAGUGACUGCAGCCAUUAUCUUGACGUCAGAUCCAGUGUCGUAGAGUGUCUUCUAAAAAGAGUAUCCUUUGAUUGUGCACUCGAUGCUUGGAACACCAGGGUCGUCCUUCUUGAUCAAGAAAGGCGACUUGAGUUGACGAUCUUGACCUCCUUGAGCUGCAGUGACCAUCUUAGCUGACUUGGUCCACAUUUGCUUAUUCAUGUUCCUCCGGUUGGUCCUUCCUUGGUUCAUGUCAGGAUUGCUCUAAGAUUUGUGUAAUCUUGUUCUUGAAGGAAAACGUCUCCGUCCUUCCCUUGAUGUAGAAACUGAUCUUGGUAGUAGUAGCGUAGAUGACAGCUCCUGAGGUGUUCAGGAAUGGCCUCGCUAGGAUGAUGGGUGCCCUCUCAUCAGUAUCAGUCUCUAUCACCACGAAGUGUGCUGGAGCGUAUAAGGUACCAACUCGGACGUAGAGGUGCUUCAAUAUUCUCUUUGGGAAACUUAGCGUACGAUCUGUAAGCUGCAAACACAUGGUUGUUUCUAAUAAAGGAUGUGUAAAGAAUUUUUCAUAGAGUACCCUGGGCAUAAUGUUGAUGCUGGAGCCAAAGUCACAGAGUGCUUCUGGGAAGUCCACUAUGCCGAUGGAGAUCGGGAUGACAGGGCGUCCUGGAUUGUCUCUCUUGACCGGCAGAAGGUCAGUAAUUACUACCACAAUGGGGUUACUCCAGUAGUUACGUCCUCAAGCAUCUCAGGGUAGUGAUUGCCUGAGUGUCCAGUCUCACUAGUGUGUUUGUGCUCGUAGAUUUAGGUUCUUCACUUGGUGGAGUAUGGGAGUUGUAAAAGUCCUUCAUAUUUUGCUCAAAGUGUACCUGCUCAUAGAGACAAGGCAAAGAUAAAGUGCAUGAGCCCUGUUGGUGGAAAACACCAACAGAACCAAAAGUGUAUUUGUUCUCUCUAACCUUAAGCAUAGUGAGAAAGACAAAGUUGAUGGAUAAUAAGACCAUGAGUGUAACAUUUAAAACAUUCGUCAGAUCAGAUCACUCAACCUAAUGGAAAGAUAAUCUAUCUAUACUUAUGUUUAUAUAUAUAUAUAUAUCUUCCAAAGAUUGAGUGUGCAACAUUUUAGCUCAUAUGAUUAGGAGUGUGGGAUCACAAAGGUGGAAGGACUAAACAUAUUGAAUCGAUUGGGUUGGUUAAUCUAGAGUUGUAAAUCAUACAUGUUUGUCUCUUUUACUCAUGUGAACGCCAGAACCAAGGAGAAGCUUAUAAAAGUGAUAGUCAAGUACUUUAAGAUGUUACCUUACUUGAAGAGUGAUGGUACAGUAUCAGCUUGUGGAAGCUUUCCUCUCUUAGCGGUUGUGCAUCGUGUUUUUGGCACCCUCCAUGGAUCAUCUCUUGUGAGCUAUGCCUUCCUUGUGUAAAUUGUUAAACUUCUUGUGUGUCUCUCUUUGUCUCCAAUGUGAGUUUAUCUUAGGACUUCCCAAGUUGAUGUUGAAAGUUUUAUUUUUCUGCAGGGGUUAGUCUGACAAAAUAUACCAAUGUCUACACAAGCAGUUUUUAGUUCAAUAACCAAACUAGACUCCAUGUCUAAUUAGAUUAAGGAAGGUUGUUUAACCUAAGCACCAUGCUUAAUUUAAAAACCAAUAGAAGUAUGUACAGUACUUCCAAACUAACACUUACUAGGAUAAACAAAGGUAGCGUGAUGGCUUUUAUAGAGAUCUACUCAAGUGGAGAUGAAGUAGUGUGAUUACUAUUUAACAAAUUGAGCAUGUCUCAAAGGUAGGGACAACCAACAUAGCAACAUGGCAAAUGAUGUUUUUAUAUAAAGUACUCCCCCAAGCUUGAAUUUUGCAAAAUUCAAGUUUGGAUGAAUUUAAUUCAAUGUUGCAUGAUGAUUGGUUGUACAUACCUUGUGCUUGUCAUUCAUCCGAUCUUCUUGCUCGAAUCCUAGAAAGGUUAGUGACAAGAAUACCCGAAGGAAUUUUUUUACAAUUAUUCUUAUAUGCUCAAUACACAAGGUAAUGUUGCGAAAAGCUCAUGUUACGAUCUGAUCAAUGCUUGUUUUAGGACACUAAGCUUGUCCUUGGGAAACCAUAAAUUUAUGUCGGCGAAGUGGUUUCCCCUCCAACGCUGACCUAUAUCAAGAUCAACUCAAUGAGAUCUGCAAUAUUUAAUAUAGACAUAUUCAUCGACAACCGCCCUUUUAAAGUUUUUAUAAAUAGAAAGGAAGAGGGGGUUGGAGAUCUCGAAUGUGGUGAUGUUGGAGAGACCAAUGGAUUGUGAAGAUGUUGCAUAUGAGCAUGGAGUAAAUGAAGUGGCUAUGAAAUAAAUUCCAUGCUCAUUAAUGCUUAGAGUGAAAUCCAUGUGGUAUGGUGAAAAUGAUAAGGUGAGUGUGGUAAAAAAGGAAAAGAAAAAGGAUACACAGACGACUUGGUUCGAAACUAGCACAACUACCGUUCCCCGGCAACGGCGCCAGAAAGCUUGUUGGGUAUUUUAAACGCAAACAGAAAAAUCCGCAAGCGCACGGAUACCGAUGUAGCCUUCACCCGGGAGUAUUCCAGAGUAUCGAUUUUCCACAGAGAACGUGAGUGCACUAAUUAAGAUCCAAGAUCGCCCAAGGAUAACUAUAUAAUUAUUUUUGGUGGGAAGAGAGGAAGAUUCCUGAGAGUUCUCUAGUUGAGCUAAGAAUCAAUAAUUACUUCAAGAUUAUCUAUUUUGGGACAUCAGAACACUAACCAUAGAAAGAGAUGAGAAGGGGGCUAGGAAGCUCCGACUACGGUCCUACAAACACCGAUCCGAACGAGGUGGAAUACGUCGACCGUUAGGGCUGUCACUACCCUAAGGCUACCACAACAAUCCACAGGAGUUAUGAAUUGAAGAACCUGGAGAACGAUGAAGAACGAACCAGUUGCUGCAAAAGUACAAUGUUGAGGAAGAUUCGACAGAUCCGGCUCCUCCUCCGCUCUCCUCUUCUCUCUCCCUAUUUUCUAGAUUACAACUAGAACUAACUAGAACUAGAACUAGAGGAACUAGAACUAGAACUAGAUGAACUAGAACUAGAUCUAGAUGAACUAGAGGUAGAACUAGAAGAACUAGAGGGAUCCUCUCUACUUGGAUGAAGAAUUGAAACCCUAGCUUUGAUUCUGUAGAAGAGGUAUGAUCUCCAGGGGCCAGGGGUCUGGUUCUAUAGUCCCUACAAGUGAAUCUGAGCCGUCGGAUCAAACCGACAUUAAUCGCACAGUUUUCCUUGAUCCUUUAGGUCGGUGGAGCAAAAUCCGCGAAACGUGUCCUGAUUGGGCACUGUAGCUGGGCGGGCGCCCUGCCUCCGAGCCCGAUUGCCUUCCCGUUCGGUCCCAUGGCUUCUGGAGUCUUCUAAUGUUAGAAAAUUGUGCGGCACGUUAAUAUCUCUAUGUAAACCCGACGUGUGGGCCUUUCCUUCGUAUUUCCUGAUAACCCCCUGCAGAAAUAGACAAACACCAAAAGUCGUGGAAUUCUGUCAGAUAAAACCCUAAGUCUGGGUGUUGGUUGCAUUUGGAUCCUUUUCCAUGAUUAGUUGAUGGUUAAAUAUGAGCAUUAAGGACCGUCAACAACAUGCUUGCUAGACUUUGAGCCACAUAUUUACUAUUUACUGCUUAUGAGCAUUGAGUGUGGUCAAGCUGUGUAGACCCUUAGGAGCUUGUCAUGUGGUUAAAUCAAGAUUCACUUGCACGUUCACUCAUAUAUGCUACUUCUACUCUGGAAGUACCAUCCACAUAUAUCCACCCAUUUCCAUCUCUAGAAUCACCCAAAAAUAUUAUACUCCUAAUCCGGGAGAGAAUAGCCAAAAAUAUUUCUGUUUUUUCCUUGUGAAAUAAAUUCUCAAGUUAUCUUGUUACUACCACUUGCUAUAUUAUCUCAAGAGAUGAAUGCUCUAAAAAAAGAGAGAAAAAAGAUACGAGGAAAUAAAAAGGAGCAAGUGCUCGGAACCUCGAAAGAAACGAAAAAAGUGAGACGAGAGGUAAAAAAAGACAAGUGUCCGACAGUAGAAUUAGGGGUACAAGAUACCCACCUGAGAGAAAAGAAAAAGAAGAGCAUCUCAUUCUCCUCACUAUUCAAAAAGCAAGGAAGGUAUGUAUCCCCUCAAGGAGCAAAGUAGAAUUAGAAUUUCACCAUUGCUACCACCAUCAUCACCAUACACCAUUCAUUCGCCACACAUGCACAUCUUGAUUUGACUUAAUGAUUUGUUUCUUUCGAUCCAUGGUUUGACUAUGCAAUACAUGUCUUGUAAGUAUGUAUACUUUAUCUCCCACCUAUGAGCUCCAGAUAUUAAAAGCCUUAUUAGAGUAGGGUGAGAGAGAAGGCAAUGUCACUAUGCUUCAUACCACAAAUACUACAUAUCUUGAGAGAAGGCAUAUACCAUCACUGCCUUGGUAAGGAUCCAGAAAUACCACAAAAGAGACAUCUGAGAGAAUCAUACAAGGAAUCUCUGAGUUUUAUUUGAAAAUCUGCAAAAAACCCCAGAGCUAUAGCUGAUCAAGAAUAAGAGACAUGGCACUUGACUAGACUGUUCUAUCUUUUAACCACUCAAGACAGAAGUGACGGUUACAAGUCCCAUGGUGAAAGGUAAAGUAAGUAAGUUUUAAGUCUUGACAGUUUACUCUAACUCAGAGAUGAGAUCUCAUUUAAAAAGCAUGUGUACCGUCAAUUUUUAAAGAUAUUGCAACAACUUCUAAUCCAUCGCUGAGUCUAUCCUUGCUCAGGGACGAGCAAGAGAUAAGCUUGGGGGAGUUUGUUGACGGUCCUUAAGUAUCAAAUUUAAUUAUCAGAUAAAUAAAGAAAAGGAUCCAAAUGAAAUCAACAUCAAGACUUAGGGAUUUAUCUGAUGGAAUUCCACGAGUUUUGGUGUUUGUCUAUUUCUGCAGGGGGUUAUCAGGAAAUAUGGAAGAAAGGCCCACACGUCGGGAUUACAUAGAGAUAUUAACGUGCCGCGCAAUUAUCUUACAUCUAGAAGACUCUAGAAGCCACGAGACCGAAGCGGAGACAAAGCGGGGCCAGAGGCAGGGCGCCCGCCCUGUUCCCUUAGGCGCCCGCCCCCUCCCUGAGUCCAAUCAGGACUCUGCUUCGUGGGAGAUCUCCACCGACCAAAAGGAUGAAUCUAAACCAUACAAUCUAUGUUGGUUUGAUCCAACGGCCCAUAUUCACUUGAAGGGACUAUAAAACCAGACCCCCUGGCUCCUGGAGGAGAGAGCCUCUCAACCCUAAUUCAUUAUUCUCAAGGGAGAAGAAGCCUCUGAUCAAGAUUAGAGCCACCACAUCAAUUAGAUAUCUAGAUUAGCAUAGCUACAUAGGAUUAGAACUAGAAGGAGUCAAUCUUUGAUUGGUUUCCGGAUCUGUCAAGAGGAUUCUUGGUAAUUCUCUAAUUGUGCUUCUAAUUGUUUUCUAAUUAUCUUUGUUCUUCAAUAUUAUGAAUAUGACUUUGUUCUACUUCAAUAUAUUGCUUAUGACUUUGCUCUACUUGCUUAUAUUCAAGAUUAUAUUGUUCUUAGUUUAUCAUAGUUAUGUACUUGGCUUAGUUAGAUUGGAUCUAUAUACAUGCUUAGGAUCGUAUAGCGUUUAUCCAUCGGAUCCAUGGGUAAAUGAUUGAUAUUAUUGUGUUGGCGUGGUGCUUAUACCGUAUUUAUCUGCGAUUGUACCCAAUAUGCCAGAUCGUGGGGUAGUUCGUGAUAGUGACAGCUUCAUUGAUUCUUAUAUAGUCCCCCUCUUGUGUAUUGGGCUGGCAGAGCAAUAUUAUUACAGGGGAGUGAUUGCUAUGUUUCUCAUUUACCUUGCUAAUAUCACUAUGCAUGGGCGUAGUCUUGUCUCACAAUGAUUGCUAAGUAUGCUUGCACUAACUAUGAUAAUGCUAGACUAUAUAGUUGAGAAUAACUUAGGAAAUAUUCUUGUAGUUCGUUCUAAUUCCAUGCUAAUGACUUUCUAGAGUAUCAAAUUGAGGUGCUUAUCAUAUUUAUAUGUGGCUGAUCAGAUCAAUUAUCUUUGUCACUAUUCAUUAUUUCAUAUAUCUUUUAUGUGACACUUAUCCCAGUAUGAAGAGUUAGAUAAAUGUUCUCAAUUACAUAUGCAAUGAUAAAUACUCAAUCUCAUAUUCUAUUCUGUAAUCAAUAUUAAUGAUUGCUAAUCCCUUCCCAGUGGUAAAAAUAUAAAUAACGAUACCUGGAAUACUUCCCGGUUAAAAUGCUACAUCGGUGUUAAUCUGUGCACUUGCAGAUCCCAUUCAUUAUUUAUUUAGAAGAGCAAUUGCAUAUUUCAAUACCGCGUCUCUUAUAUCAUGCUGGGGAUGACAACUUGGCUUAAGUGGUGUGAGGGAUAUGUUUGGCAUUUUUGGUACCGUUACUAGAUUUAGAGAACCUAGUCUACUUUUGGUAAUGAUGUUAAGAAUACCCAACAGUGAGCACUUCACCCGGGAGGUUAUCCAAAGUAUCGUAUUUAUAUUUUUACCACUAGGAGAAAGAGUGCAUCUGACUAACCCAGUCUAUUACUACUAACCAUUAGGCUACAAAGAAUGUUUCUCGAUGUGAGCGAUGUAUAGAGAAUACUACAACCGUAAUCUCUUUCUAACCUUGGUAAGGAUGAUCUACUGUUCUAUUGGGAAGCUUACGGAAUCUAGACACCAUAGAGGAUGUUCAACCCGCACCUAUAAACCCUAUCCUUCCUGCUAACGAGAUAUGGCCUGCAAAGGUAACUCGGAAAUGUCACGUUCCUCGCUACUACCACGGUCCAGCUAGUCAGAGGAUAUCCAUGAGUAUCCUAGCCCAAACACCAUGUCUACGCUAGAGAUGAUUACUCUAAACUCUACGCGAAGAGAUUAAAGUAAACUCAUAAACUAAAGAACAAUAAAACAAGAACUUACUAGAAUUUAGAAGUCGAAAUACUGAAGAAUCCUAGGAGCAAGCUUCGGGUUAGGAGAACUUGAUCCCGCAGGUACAACCUCGGAGUAGACACCGACAGGCCGGGCUUCCUCCGAUCUACACCUCCACUCUAUCUCUCUCAAUCUAGUAGAAACUAGAAGAUCUAAUUCUACUCACAUUGGAUGCUAAGCCCUAAGUCUAUUUAGAGGAGAGGUAUUCUUUCGAGGGCUCCUCUCAACUCUAUGAUGAACUUGUUCUCCUCCAGGGGCCAGGGGGUCUACUUAUAUAGUUCCCUCAGGUGAACGUGGGUCGUUGGAUCAAACCGACAUUGAUUGAACGGUUAUCCUUGAUCCUUUAGGUCGGUGGAGCAUAAUCCUGAAAGAGAGUCCUGAUUGGACUCCAAAGGGGGGCGGGUGCCCUGGUCCGUAGGGCGAGCGCCCUGGGCUAGGCCCCGUUCUGCCUCUGCUUCGUUCUCGUGGCUUCUGGAGUCUUCUAGAUGGUAGAAAAUUGUGCGGUGCGUUAAUAUCUCUAUGUAAUCCCGUCAUGUGGGCCUUUCUUCCUUAUUUCCUGAUAACCCCCUGCAGAAACAGAUAAAAAACAAAACUCGUGGAAUUCUAUCAGAUCAAACCGUAAUCCUAGGUGUUGUUUGCAUAUUGGUCCUUUCUCUUGUUUAUUUGAUAAUUAAAAUUGAUACUUAAGAACUGUCAACAAAUACCCCCAUACUUAGGCUUUUACUCGUCCUCGAGAAAAGGAUGGUUAAGAAAAAUAUCUAGGGUAAAACAUUUUAAAACAUUUUCUUCAUACCUGCAGGGUGUUGUAAAAAUUCACUGUGUACUGUAGUUAGGGAAGUAUAUGGUUAAGAGUAGAGAUCCUUUAUUCUCAAUCCUGUUACUUGGAGUUUUUAUAUAUUUUUGAAAAGAAAUCUAGCAUACCUUUAUCCUCACAGGUUCUCUCAGGUCACUCAUUAUCUCUUAUAUCUCACUGAGGCUGUUUUAAUUUGCAAAAAUUCUCAAGCAUACUUACUUUGCAUUUAUUGCCUGAUCAAAACGGGAUCCGAGGAGAAGACUGCCAUACUCUUAGAUCAAAGACUUUGGAAAUUAAAAACAUGUCAACUCUUACUGGCAUAUUGCUUAUUAGAGGGACCAUGGGCUAUUAUUUUCUUUCUUUUCUCUUUUUUUAGGUGGAUACCGAGGUACCCCUAAUUCUACUGUCGGACACUUGUCCAUUUUUUCUGCGAGGUUAUCGAGCACUUGCUCCUUUUUAUUUCCUCGAAAUAUCCUUAUUUUUGCAUAGCCCAUGCCUCUAAUGCAAUAAUACUUUGGAAGAGUGUAUCUUUCUGAAUAAAUGUCUUGAUCUUAGGAGCAUGAUAAAUCUCUCAACAAGGGUCUAACUCAUUUUGAACAAACUCAAUACAAAGUAGAUAGCUUUUAUAAUUAUCAUGAUUAAUAUUUUCAGGUUUAUCAGGCAUAUAAAACACUGAGGAUGGUAGCUACAAUUUUUUGAAUAAAUUCUCCAAGCAACAAUGAUAUCAAGAAUAAGGUACUCAUACUCUACCAUCUCACAUUCCACAAUGACUUAAGUAACACAGGGUUUUAAAAUGAUUUUUCAAUAAUUGCAGGUUUUCAGGAAAUAUCACAGAGUGAGAUUAAUCAUGAUUAGAAACAUUUUAAUCUUUUUAAUUUAUCAUGUCAGAGACAAUAUUCUGCAUAAUCCAAGUAAAGUGUGCAGAGUAUGUAACUGAAUCGUGGAGUGGUGUAGUCGAAGUGUGUUUGGCAUGUCGAGGGAUCUCCCCCAUACUUGUUUUCUGCUUUCUUGCAUAAAAGUAAAGUAGAGACACACAAGACAUAAUAAUAAUACUCUUUAUUAAUCUUGAGGCAUUUAUUACAAAUUACUAAUAGCAAACUGACGAUAAUAAUAAAUCUAAACCGAAUUUAAAGAUAAAUAACUAAGAUGCAUUGCCUCAAGAUCUAAUCUAGAUAACUUAGCGGCGCUCUAACUCCUUGAUCUUAUUAUUGGCACUAGCAAGAUCAUGCCUAAGACCUAGUAUCACCAUGUUGUGGUUAGAGAGCUGCCUAGUGAUGGAGUUAACCGAGGACUGGAGGUCUAUGAUGACCCUAUCUAGCCUGCGAACGUCCUCAUCAAUAUCUACUAUAGUCUUGCGACGCUUAGGAGGUGUCUCGAGAGCAUUGAGAGCGUGCUUCGGGGCUGCCUUUGGAGGGAUGAAACAGACUUUGGCUGCUCUAAUCCCCUCAAAGUAAGGCCUCUCCACGUCCGUAGUGUAGCGGAUGCUGCUAAUCUCGCCGCUACAGUUGGUCUUGACUCCAAUGACCCUCUCAUUGGGUCAAGGUGGAAGGAUCCUAGUGCCGGCUGGCACCUUGAUGGUGGUCUCCUUCUUGGCUGAUGGUCCCUUGAGAAGUAGGGGUUGUGGCGGUGCGGUGAGAACUGGUUGAGCAUGGUAGGAUUGGGCGGAGCUGUGCUGGCAUAAUGGCAUGGCUUCUAGCUGUCGCUCUAUGUUGGCCGGGACGAGAGCACGGGCGUCGGGGUCUUACUUAGGCUUCUUGUUGAGGUAGUAGGGAACGACUUCCCAAUCGUCGUGGAACUCUUCGACCAUUGGAGCAGCGAGGAACUAAGCAAGCUCUAAUUGAAGAAGGAGAGAAGGCUUGAAUAGAUUGGUGUUUGAAAACUGACGUCAGGGGUCUGUUUAUAUAGGGGUCAAAAAGUGCCUCUAGGGGUUGUUCGGGUUACUCCCGUCGCCGUGCGUGUGAAACUUUUCAUCUGAAGGAUUAUUUGGUUUACCAUAAGUGUGUUUUCCAUGACAGGGGAAAUCGGGACCGAGAGGGGGUAGGGGCUGGGCGCCCGCCCUGUGUCUGACCCCUUUGUGGGUCUGCUUCCUCGAGCGAGUUUCUAGAUGCAAAACUUAUUAGGAAAAUAUAUACAUGGCCCUAAAACGUUAGAUUAAAAAGGUUGGGCUCUAAAUCUCCAUGGGAAGGUAGAAAUGGAUUACGUCUAUUUCUUCUAAUUCUUUUUUAGGCUCUAAAACUAAUUUAAGACGUUGACCAUUUACCUUGAAUAACGUACCUUCGUCAUUUUGAAGUGUGAUAGCUCCGUGGGAUGACUAAUUGAUUACCUUGAAUGGUCCUUCCCAUUUACUCUGGAGUUUUCCAGGCCCGAAAAGCUUCACCCUAGAAUUAAAAAGAAAUACCUUAUCUCCGGGUGCGAACUCCUUCUUCUUGAUCCUCUUGUCAUGCCACCUUUUGAUAUGCUUUCUCUCGCCAUUCUUCCAAUUCUGAUAGUUGCAUUGUUCUAUGGUCUCCAGCGACAUCUAGGUCCAUAUUCCAUCUCCUUAUGGCCCAAUGUGCUUUGAAUUCUAGUUCAACAGGUAGGUGGCAAGUCUUCCCGUACACCAAUUGGUAUGGGGACAUUCCAAUUGGGGUCUUGUAUGUUGUCCGGUAUGCCCAGAGUGCAUCGGGUAACUUGUCUUUCCAUGCCGUUCCCAUUUCAUUCACUGUCUUCUGAAGAAUAUUCUUGAUUUGCUUGUUGGAAGUCUCUGCUUGGCCACUUGUCUGAGGAUGAUAGGGGGUAGCGACGCUGUGACGGAUUCCAUGUUUUGAUAGAUAUUGGUUGAAGCGUUUGUCGAUGAAGUGUGCUCCUCCAUCACUUAUCACUACUCUGGGGACUCCAAAUCUUGGAAAUAUAAUUUCUUCAAACAUCCUCUUUGAACUGAUGUUGUCGGCAUGCUUCCAAGGUAAUGCCUCUAACCACUUGGUGACGUAGUCAACUGCCACCAAGAUGAACUCACACUUCUUUGAUGGGGGAAAUGGACCCAUGUAAUCUAUUCCCCAAACAUCAAAGAGCUCAAUCUGAAGGUUGUUGGUGAGUGGCAUGGCAUCCCCUGUGUUUAUGUUUCCGUGUCUUUGACAUGGCCCACAUCUUCUGAUAUAUUGCUUCGUGUCUUCAUACAUUGUAGGCCAGUAUAAUCCACACUGCCAGAUCUUUGAAUGUGUACAGAAUGCUCCAUAAUGACCUCCAUAAGGUGAUGAAUGACAUGUGUCAAUGAUCUUCCAUCCUUCCUCGGUGGUCACACAUCUCUUGAGUAAACCAUCAGAGCUUACUCGGAAGAGGUAUGGCUCAUCCCAUAUAUGUGAAUGACUUUCUUGAAUAAGCUUAUUCUUGUUUGCUCCUAGUGGUACAUACCCUGAAACCAUAAAAUUAACAAUAUCUGCAUACCAGGGGUCAGACGUGUUAAUCCUGUAGAGCAUGUCGUCCCAGAGUGAAUCAUUGAUGGGGGUUUCGUGUGGAUUCUUAAAAUACAUUCUAGACAAGUGAUCAGCAACAAAAUUUUCUACUCCCUUUUUAUCUUUUAUUUCUAAGUCAGAUUCUUGAAGUAAUAAGAUCCAUCUAAUCAGGCGAGGUUUAGCAUCUUUUUUAGUGAGAAGAUAUUUUAGUGCAGCAUGAUCAGUAUAAACAAUUAUUUUAGCUCCAACUAAAUAAGAUCUAAAUUUAUCAAUGGCAAAGACAACAGCCAGAAGCUCUUUUUCAGUGGUUGCAUAAUUAAGUUGAGCUCCUGUCAAAGUUUUACUGGCAUAAGCAAUUGCAUGAUGCUUCUUAUUUUUAGUUUGUCCCAAAACUGCCCCCACAGCAUAAUCCAUAGCAUCACACAUAAUUUCAAAAGGCAACGACCAAUCAGGGGGUUGAAUGAUUGGUGCAGAGAUGAGUGCAUUCUUUAAUAAAUUGAAAGAUGUUAGGCAUGCAUCAUCAAAUUCGAAAGGAACAUCGUUGGCUAGCAAAAGAGUAAGUGGUCUAGCAAUAAAUGAAAAAUCUUUUAUGAAUCUACGAUAAAAACCAGCAUGGCCAAGAAAGCUUCGAAUUCCUUUUACAUUCACAGGUGGAGGUAGUUGUUCAAUUACUUCAAUUUUAGCUUUGUCUACCUCAGUACCUCUUUCAGACACUAGGUGUCCCAACACUAUUCCUUCCCUCACCAUAAAAUGACAUUUUUCCCAGUUAAGAACUAAGUGCUUUUCUUCACAUCUUUGCAAAACCUUGUCUAAGUUUUCAAGACAACUAUCAAAACUUUUUCCAUAAACAGAGAAAUCAUCCAUGAAAACUUCCAUAAUCUCUUCAAUCAUAUCAGAAAAUAUAGAUAUCAUGCAUCUUUGAAAAGAAGCUGGUGCAUUACAUAACCCAAAAGACAUUCUACGGUAAGCAUAAGUUCCGUAUGGGCAUGUAAAAGUGGUUUUGCUCUGAUCAUCGGGAUGGAUCGGGAUCUGGUGAUACCCUGAAUAUCCAUCUGUUGGUGCAAAAGCUGAUCUGCAAACACAAAGGGCUAAUACCCGAUUUAAACGUUAAGGCGUGCCAGCCGAUUUGACCUUACUAUCGGCAAAGGUGAUAACUCGAACACUUUGGUCCCAACCACAGCGAUGCGCUCGGAUGUCACGGCCAAGAGGUGCUCACGCGGAACUUGAGAACGCGCCGAGCUUAAGUCGACGAAUUCCUAAGAACUCGUAGUAAAAAGGAAAAUGUGACGAAGUCGUCGAAAAAGUAGAUGCUGGAAUAUGAGUAAAAAUUUGUGUUUGAUUGAUUGAUAGAUUGUUCAUUACAAGGCCCUAGGGUCUACAUUUAUACCCUGCUUAAAGAGCUACAAUCAGACACGACUAGGACUCAAAUUCCAAAUCAAACGGAAUCCGUAUACAAAACAAAUUUAAAUAACUAAGGAAAACAUAAAACUAUCCCCUUGUAAUCGACCGGGACACCGCCACAGAUCAAUCGGCAACCUCUACGCUUUCCUUCAGAAUCAUCGCCAGACCUCCUGUCAUGGCCAUCGGCAAACACUGAUACCGAUCAUCGGCACGAACAUGUCACCACCUCUGGACUUAGUCACAUUCAACUGUCUCUUCAUCGGCAACUUCCCUGCAGACUAGUUACCGUUGCUCCAUCUGCCGAUCUAUACUUUACCGAUCCCCAGGUACGUGUCUAAAAAUGGUGUCAACACAUGCCCCCUAAUUUCGGAGUAUAAAAUCAUUAAUGCUCCAAAAUUCUCUGCAGUAAUGAUGCCUUUCCGCAAUUAAUUUUCCCCAUUUGGUAACCGUUCGUCAAAUCCGAACAACCUUGGCCCGAUUCUCUUGUAUAUUCCUCAAAUUCCUCAACCUCCCGAUCCAAACCUCUCCACUUUAUGCACCCAUCGGCAAUAUUACCGUUAGAGGGAACUGCCGAUGGACCGACCAGGAGAUCUUGCACAGUGAAAUAUCUCCAAAAUCAUGACCGCUUGCCGUCAAAUCAUCUGCGCAAACCCUUGAUUACCAUGCGAACAGUUACCAUAUCCACCUGAGUACCCUCGGAUUUCACGGAUGCGGCGAAGAGAUAAGUCAGAUUUGCCCCUGCCCGUUUUGUCCUAUAAAUACUUCCUUCUCUGGUACUCGUUCUCCAUCUUGUCAUUCUACAGCCCAAAAUCCACUUUCACGGCGGCGGCACCAUCCGAGGUCUCCAAGAACUUCAACGAAGGCUUUCUUCACCAAUCCCCCAAGUCUUCGACCUUCUUUCUUGUAAGAAAAUGGCCAUCAACUUCAUCGUGCCUGAGGUCAGUUCACCACCCCUCUUUUCCGCACCUUUACUGUACUCCUGUUCAUCCGCAAUUCAUCUUACUGAAUACCCCUUUUUCUUUAUUGUUCUUCUUUUUAUCCUCAAAAACCUCUAGGAUCUGGCUGAUAAGAUCGUUAUUCCUACCGAUCAACCGCACCUCCAAUGUCUUGGCCCACUAGGAAACCCAGAUCCUACCGAUCUGAUAAACGCAGAGACAAACAGAGUUCCUUUUAGAGCCGAAAACUUUUCCCUAGAUCUAUGGAAAGAUGCCUUCCGUUCCUGGCCCAGUCCUACCAAGGGAUGGAAGGAUUGGUUCUGGAGAGUCAGCCACUCAAAUGAGGUUCAAUGGGGCGAGCGAAAAUUAGAUCGGUGCAUUAGGUUGUCUCUUGCCAAUAUGGAGAGAAAUGAGUCACUGCUAAUUGCUGCCUCCUACUUUUGGUCGGACACGCUUAACGCUUUUGUCCUUGGCCACGGCCCUACUUCUCCUACACUUGCCGAUGUGCUCAUGCUUACCGGCUUAGAUAUAUCCACUCCUGAUAACAGCCAUCUAUUUGACACCAGACCCAGUUCUAAGGUAGAAUCUCGCUCUAUCGGUGGUUGGUCUGGGUAUAUUCAGAAAUACCGAAGAACAGGACCUGUUAAUCCAAAUGAACAGACCACUUUCCUGAAUAUGUGGCUGGAUAAGUUUGUAUUCUGUGGCCGAUCGGCAGGACGGACCUCUGUCUACUUAUCGGCAGCAGAAAGAUUAGCCGAUGGUGGCCGAUUCCCUCUUGGCCGAUACCUGCUCGGCUCUGUCUAUCACCUCCUCCACCAUGUAGCCAGGAAACUUCUGCUCGGCCAACCCAUCAGCAACUUAGGGGGUCCUUGGUGGUUUAUCAACAUGUGGCUUAGUCUUCACAUGCACAAGCGCCUCGAAUUCGACCUCUUUGCACAGCGCUUCCCCAGGGACAUAGCCGAGGACAAUGAACUGCAUGAAGAAGAAUCGGCAACUCGCCCUCCCUUGAACUUUGGCGAGGCUGCCAUAGUCUUACCUGGCACUGGUGGUAAUGAAGACCAGGUUAGCCAAUUCUUUCUGACUCUAUAUGAAGGUCUGACUAGAGAACAUCGAGCGUGGAUGCCUUAUGAAAAUCCAGAUACCAGAUUUCCCCUGAUCUUCCACCCCUUCAAUUAUGCUCUCAACAAGGACCGUGACGUGAUGAUUGCAAUUAUCACCCCAAGGGCCAUACCCGUGAACUUCUUUGGCAGUGGGAAAGCUUCUAACCUGACCUAUGAAUUUUAUAACCCAUCGGCACUAGCUCGCCAAUUGGUUUCGGCCAAUUGCCGAUCGCACUUUGCUACGCCGAUGUGAUAAAGCCAAGGGAGACUAUCACCAGCAAUCUUGAAUGGAUCAGGGUAGCACAACUUCCGCCAAACACCGAUACAGAUGUCGAUCUAUCGGCUUGGAUCCCAGCCCUCUUCAUUACUCAGGCAUACAAACAGUGGUGGGAAGAAUGGAAAGAGAAUCUGUUCUGCAGAUCGGCCCUUACAUACCGUGGUAUGAUCGACCCCAAAUACAAAGUCCCUGAUAAUACUGUAAGUACUUUAAACUGAUACUCCAACCCUUUCAUUUUUACUUCCCAUCGGUAACUUACUUUCUUUGUUGUAUACAGGUCGAUGAUAUGCCACCAUUAGUCAGCAGGAGUGGCAGGCCGAUUGAACUCCUUCCAUCGGGCCUGAUUUCUUUGAUCGGCAACAACGCUCAAACCUUGGCUACUAUAAUGCAUCGGGGUGUGCGUCUUAAGAAAGUCACCACCAAGCGGACGAAAACAUCCCCAUCGGUAGCUGCCACUGCUUUGGCACAAGCCUUCAAGGUAAAUUCUCAAAUUCUUCAACUUAUACCGAUUCCAUUCUUAUACUUACACAAAUUUUCAGGACACAUCGGCUAGCAUGGGAGCUUCAUCGGUAGCUUUACUAUUUUACUAGAACCUCAUCAAUAUCCUGUUACACUUGUACUCACAAAACUUUCAUUGUUGUAUCAGCACACUAGCAAAUCGGCAAAGACCAGAAGCACGACUGCCGAUGCCCCCCAGUCCAGCCAACCAAAGAGAAAAGGUUCCAAGAGCACCAGAACACAAGCCAAGCGUCAGAGAACAGCAACGCCUCACCCUCCUCCAAGGUCACCGAUCCUGAUGGAAUUGUCUCCCUCUUCUCCAGAAGCUCAGAUACAACAAGCGCCGUCUCCUCUUCAGCCACAAGAAGAACCCCAAACAGAAGAACUCCAGCUAGAAGAACCUCAGCCAGAAGGAACAUCGGCUGAUGUACACGAGCAGACCGCUGAUCCAGCAAGCUUAAUCAUAUCAUUGGUAGUCUCCUUGAUUCAGACAAGUACUGCACCCCCUCAAGGUAACACACUUUCUAUUUAUUGCCGAUGAACCUGUUGAUAUUUGGGAACGCAGUAAGGAAUGGAUCCGCAAGCACACGGAUAUCGGUGAGCCCUUCACCCGGGAGGUUAUACAGAUUAUCGUAUUUAUUUUUUUACCACUAGGAGAAAGAGUGCAUCUAACUAACCCGGUCUAUUACUACUAACCCUUUAGGCAACAAAGAAUGUUUCUCGAUGUGAGUGAUAAAUAGAGAAGACUACAACCGUAAUCUCCUUCUAACCUUGGCAAGGAUGAUCUACUGUUCUAUUGGGGAGGCUAACGGAAUCUAGACACCACAAAGGAUGUUCAACCCGCACCUAUAAACCCUAUCCUUCCUGCUAACGAGAUAUGGUCUUCAAAGGUAACUCGAAAAUGUCACGUUCCUCGCUACUACCACGGUCUAGCUAGUCAGGGAAUAUCUAUGAGUAUCCUAGCUUAAACACCACGUCUACGCUAGAGAUGAUUACUCUAAACUCUACGCAAAGAGAUUAAAGUAAACUCAUAAACCAAAAGAACAAUAAAAUAAGAACUUACUAGAAUUUAGAUGUCGAAAUACUGAAGAAUCCUAGGAGCAAGCCUCGGGUUAGGAGAACUUGAUCCCGCAGGUACAAGCUCGGAGUAGACACCCACACGCCGGGCUUCCUCCGAUCUACACCUCCACUCUAUCUCUCUCAAUCUAGUAGAAACUAGAAGAUCUAUUUCUACUCACAUUGGUUGCUAAGCCUAAAAAGCAAUUUUAUUUAGAGAACAGGUUUUCCUUCGAGGGCUCCCCUCAACUCUAUGAUAAACUUGUCUCCUCCAGGGGCCAGGGGGUCUGGUUUUAUAGUCCCUUCAAGUGAACGUGAGCCAUUGGAUCAAACCGACAUUGAUUGGAUGGUUAUCCUUGAUCCUUUAGGUUGGUGGAACGUCGUGUGUGAAAAGAGUCCCGAACCAAGUCUAGAGGGGGGCAGGCGCCCAGGUCAACUGGGCGGGCGCCCAGUGCCUGGCCCCGUUCGGCCUCCGCUUCCUUCCCGUGGCUUCUGGAGUCUUCUAGAUGGUAGAAAAUUGCGCGGUGCGUUGAUAUCUCUAUGUAAUCCCAACAUGUGGGCCUUUCUUCCUUAUUUCCUGAUAACCCCCUGCAGAAACAGAUAAACAACAAAACUCGUGGAAUUCUGUCAGAUCAAACCCUAAUUCUAGGUGUUGUUUGCAUAUUGGUCCUUUCUCUUGUUUAUUUGAUAAUUAAAAUUGAUACUUAAGAACCGUCAACAAAUACCCCCAUACUUAGGCUUUUACUCGUCCUAGGGAAAAGGAUGGUUAAGAACAAUAUCUGGGGUAAAACAUUUUUAAAACAUUCUCUUCAUAACUGCAGGGUGUUAAAAUCCACUGUGUACUGUAGUCACGGAAGUAUAUGGUUAAGAGUAGAGAUCUUUUCUUCUCAAUCCUGUCACUUGGAGUUUUUGUAUAUUUUUGAAAGAAAGUUAGCAUACCUUUUAUCCUCAUAGGUUUUCUCAGAUCACUCAUUAUCUUUUAUAUAUCUCACUGAGGCUAUUUUAAUUUGCAAAAAUUCUCAAGCAUACUUACUUUACAUUUAUUGCUUGGUCAAAACGGGAUCCGAGGAGGGGAGUGUCAUACUCUUAGAUCAAAGACUUUGGAAAUUAAAAUCCUUGUCAACUCUUACUGGCAUAUUGCUUAUUAUAGGGACCAUGGUCUAUCAUUUUCUUUUUGUUCUCUCUUUUUUUUUAAGUGGAUACCAAGGUAUCCCUAAUUCUACUGCCGGACACUUAUCCUUUUUUUCUACGAGGUUGUCGAGCACUUGCUCCUUUUUAUUUCCUCGAAAUAUCUUUAUUUUUUUGCAUAGCCCAUGCCUCUAAUGCAAUAAUACUUCGAAAGAGUGAAUCUUUGUGAAUAAAUGUCUUGAUCUUAGGAGCAUGAUAAAUCUCUCAACAAGGGUCUAACUCAUUUUGAACAAACUCAAUACAGAGUAGAUAGCCUUUAUAAUCAUAAUUAAUAUUUUCAGUUUUAUCAGGCAUAUAAAACACUGAGGAUGGUAGAUAGAAUUUGAAAUAAAUUCUCCAAGCAACAAUGAUAUCAGGAAUAAGAAACUUAUACUCUACCAUCUCAUAUUCCACAAUGACUUAAGUAACACAGGAUUUUUAAAAUGAUUUUUUAAUAAUUGCAAGUUUCAAGAAAUAUCAUAGAGUGAGAUUAAUCAUGAUUAGAAACAUUUUAAUCUUUAUCAUGUCGGAAACAAUAUUCUGCAUAAUCCAAGAUAUGUGUAAAGUAAAGUGUGCAGAGUGUGUACCUGAAUUGUGGAGUGGUGUAGUCGAAGUGUGUUUGUCAUGUCGAGUGAUCUCCCCCAUACUUGUUUUCUGCUUUCUUGCACAAGGAUAAAGUAGAAACACACAAGACAUAAUAAUAAUAAUAAUAAUAAUAAUAAUAAUAAUAAUAAUAAUAAUAAUAAUAAUAAUAAUAAUAAUAAUAAUAAUAAUAAUAAUAAUAAUAAUAAUAAUAAUAAUAAUAAUAAUAAUAAUAAUAAUAAUAAUAAUAAUACUCUUUAUUAAUCUUGAGGCAUUUAUUACAAAAGACUAGUAGCAAACUGACGAUAAUAGUAACAAACUGAUGAUAAUAGUAAACCUAAACCGAAUUUAAAGAUAGAUAACUAAGAUGCAUUGCCUCAAGGUAAAGUGUAAAGUAAAGUGUGCAGAGUGUGUACCUGAAUUGUGGAGUGGUGUAGUCGAAGUGUGUUUGUCAUGUCGAGUGAUCUCCCCCAUACUUGUUUUCUGCUUUCUUGCACAAGGAUAAAGUAGAAACACACAAGACAUAAUAAUAAUAAUAAUAAUAAUAAUAAUAAUAAUAAUAAUAAUAAUAAUAAUAAUAAUAAUAAUAAUAAUAAUAAUAAUAAUAAUAAUAAUAAUAAUAAUAAUAAUACUCUUUAUUAAUCUUGAGGCAUUUAUUACAAAAGACUAGUAGCAAACUGACGAUAAUAGUAACAAACUGAUGAUAAUAGUAAACCUAAACCGAAUUUAAAGAUAGAUAACUAAGAUGCAUUGCCUCAAGGUAAAGUGUAAAGUAAAGUGUGCAGAGUGUGUACCUGAAUUGUGGAGUGGUGUAGUCGAAGUGUGUUCGGCAUGUCGAGUGAUCUCCCCCAUACUUGUUUUCUGCUUUCUUGCACAAAAGUAAAGUAGAGACACACAAGACAUAAUAAUAAUAAUAAUAAUACUCUUUAUAUACUCUUUAUUAAUCUGGAGGCAUUUAUUACAAAUGACUAGUAGCAAACUGACGAUAAUAGUAAAAUCUAAACCGAAUUUAAAGAUAAAUAACUAAGAUGCAUUGCCUCAAGAUCUAAUCUAGAUAACUUAGCGGCGCUCUAAUUCCUUAAUCUUCUUAUUGGCACUGGCAAGAUCAUGCCUAAGGCCUAAUAUAACAGUGUUGUGGUUAGAGAGCUGCCUAGUAAGGGAAUUAAUCGAGGACUGGAGGUCUAUGAUAACUGUGUCUACCCUGCGAAUGUCCUCAUCAAUAUCCAUUAUAGUCUUGCAACGCUUGGGAGGUGUCUCAAAAGCAUUGAGAGCAUGCUUCGGGGCUGCCUUUGGAGGGAUGAAACGAACUUUGGCUGCUCUAACCCCUUCAAAGUAAGGCCUUUCCUCCUCCAUAGUGUAGCGUACACUGCUGAUCUCGCCGCUCCGGUUGGUCUUGACUCCAACGACCCUUUCAUUGGGUCUGGGUGGAAGGAUCCUCAUGCCGGUUGGCACCUUGAUGGUGGUCUUCGUCUUGGAUGAUGAUCCCUUAAGGAGUAGGGGUUGUGGCGGUGCGGUGAGAACUGGUUGAGCAUGGUAGGAUUGGGCGGAGCUGCGUUGGGGUAAUGGCAUGGCUUCUAGCUGUCGCUCUGUGUUGGCCGAGACGAGAGCACAGGCGUCGGGGUCUUCCUCAGGCUUCAUGUUGAGGUUGAAGGGGACGACUUCCCAAUCAUCGUGGAACUUCUCGGGCAUUGGAGCAGCAAGGAACUAAUCAAGCUCUAAUUGAAGAAGAGAAGGCUUGGUGGUUUGGUGUUUGAAAACUGAUGUCAGGGGUCUGUUUAUAUAGGGGUCAAAAAGUGCCGCUAGGGGUUGUUCGGGUUGCUCCCGUCGAUGUGCGUGCAAAACUUUCCAUCUGAGGGAUUAUUCGGAUUACCAUUAGUGCAUUUUCCAUAACAGAGAAAAUCGGGACCGAGGGGGAACAGGAGCUGGGCACCCGCCCACCUGAUCUGGGCGCCCGCCCUCUCUCUGGCCCCUCUGUGGGCCCACUUUCUCGAGCGCGUUUCUAGAUGCAAAACUAUUUACGAAAAUAUGUGUAUGACCCAAAAACAUCAGACUAAAAAGGUCGGGCUCUAAUUCUCCAUGGGAAGGUAAAAAUGGACUAGUCUAUUUCUUCUAAUUCUUUAUUGGGCUCUAAAAAUAAUUUAAGACGUUGACCAUUUACCUUGAAUAACAUACCUUCGUCAUUUUGAAGUGUGAUAGCUCCGUGGGAUGAUGAAUUGAUUACCUUGAAUGGGCCUUCCCAUUUGCUCUGGAGUUUUCCAUGCCCGAAAAGCUUCACCCUGGAAUUAAAAAGUAAUACCUUAUCUCCAGGUGUGGACUCCUUCUUCUUGAUUCUCUUGUCAUGCCACCUUUUGACUCUUUCUUUGUGGACCUUCGAAUUGUGAUAUGCUUUCUCUCGCCAUUCUUCCAAUUCUGAUAGUUGUAUUCUUCUAUGAUCUCCAGCAACAUCUAGGUCCAUAUUCCAUCUCUUUAUGGCACAGUGUGCUUUGAACUCUAGUUCAACACGUAGGUGGCAAGUCUUCCCGUACACCAAUUGGUAUGGAGACAUUCCAAUUGGGGUCUUGUAUGCUGUCCCGUAUGCCCAGAGUGCAUCGGGUAACUUGUCUUUCCAUGCCGUUCCCAUUUCAUUUACUGUCUUCUGAAGAAUAUUAUUGAUUUGUUUGUUGGAAGUCUCUGCUUGGCCACUUGUCUGAGGAUGAUAGGGGGUAGCGAUGUUGUGAUGGAUUCCAUGUUUUGAUAGAUAUUGCUUGAAGCGUUUAUUGAUGAAGUGUGCUCCUCCAUCACUUAUCACUACUCUGGGGACUCCAAAUCAUGGAAAUAUAAUUUCUUCAAACAUCCUCUUGGAACUGAUGUUGUCGGCAUGCUUGCAAGGUAAUGCCUCUACCCACUUGGAGACGUAGUCAACUACCACCAAAAUGUACUCACACUUCUUUGAUGGAGGAAAGGGACCCAUAUAGUCUAUUCCCCAGACAUCAAAGAGCUCAAUCUGAAGGUUGUUGGUGAGUGGCAUUGCAUCCCUUGUAUUUAUGUUUCCGUACCUUUGACAUGGUCCACAUCUUCUGAUAUAUUGCUUCGUGUCUUCAUACAUUGUAGGCCAGUAGAAUCCACAUUGCCAGAUCUUUGAAUGUGUACGGAAUGCUCCAUAAUGACCUCCAUAUGGUGAUGAAUGACAUCUGUCGAUGAUCUUCCAUCCUUCCUCAGUGGUCACACAUCUCCUGAGUAAGCCAUCAGAGCAUACUCGGAAGAGGUAUGGCUCAUCCCAUAUAUGUGAACGACUUUCUUGAAUAAGCUUCUUCUUGUUUGCUCCUGGUGGUACAUACCCUGAAACCAUAAAAUUAACAAUAUCUGCAUACCAGGGGUCAGACCUGUUCAUCCCAUAGAGCAUGUCGUCCCGGAGUGAAUCAUUGAUGGGGGUUUCCUGUGGACUCUUAAAAUACAUUCUAGACAAGUGAUAAGCAACAAAAUGUUCUACUCCCUUUUUAUCUUUUAUUUCUAAGUCAAAUUCUUGAAGUAAUAAGGUCCAUCUAAUCAGGCGAGGUUUAGCAUCUUUUUUAGUGCGCAAAUAUUUUAGUGCAGCAUGAUCAGUGUAAACAAUUAUUUUAGCUCCAACUAAAUAAGAUCUAAAUUUUUCAAUGGCAAAGACAACAGCCAGAAGCUCUUUUUCAUUGGUUGCAUAGUUAAGUUGAGCUCCUGUCAAAGUUUUACUAGCUUAAGAAAUUACAUGAUGCUUCUUAUUUUUAGUUUGUCCCAAUACUGCCCCCACAGCAUAAUCACUAGCAUCACACAUAAUUUCAAAAGGCAACGACCAAUCAUGGGGUUGAAUGAUUGGUGCAGAGAUGAGUGCUUUCUUUAAUAAAUUAAAAGAUGUUAGACAUGCAUCAUCAAAUUCGAAAGGAGCAUCCUUGGCUAGCAAAAGAGUAAGUGGUCUAGCAAUAAAUGAAAAAUCUUUUAUGAAUCUACGAUAAAAACCAGCAUGGCCAAGAAAGCUUCGAAUUCCUUUUAUGUUCACAGGUGGAGGUAGUUGUUCAAUUACUUCAAUUUUAGCUUUGUCUACCUCAAUACCUCUUUCAGACACUAGGUGUCCCAGCACUAUUCCUUCCCUAACCAUGAAAUGACAUUUUUCCCAAUUAAGGACUAAGUGCUUUUCUUCACAUCUUUGCAAAACCUUGUCUAAGUUUUCAAGACAACUAUCAAAAGUUUUUCCAUAAAUAGAGAAAUCAUCCAUGAAAACUUCCAUAAUCUCUUCAAUCAUAUCAGAAAAUAUAGACAUUAUGCAUCUUUGAAAAGAAGCUGGUGCAUUACAUAACCCAAAAGACAUUCUACGGUAAGCAUAAGUUCCAUAUGGGCAUGUAAAAGUGGUUUUGCUUUGAUCAUCAGGAUGGAUCGGGAUUUGGUGAUACCCUGAAUAUCCAUCUAAGAAACAGAAGAACGAAUGGUUUGCUAACCGCUCUAGCAUCACAUCUAUGAAAGGUAAAGGAAAAUGAUCCUUUCUCGUGGCUUUGUUCAGUUUUCUAUAGUCUAUGCACAUCCGCCAUCCUGUGACGGUGCAUUGCGGAAUUAGCUCGUUCUUUUCAUUCAUAAUAACAGUCAUGCCUCCCUUUUUAGGCGCAACUUGAACUGGGCUUACCCACUCACUGUGCAGCAUAGGAUAUAUAAUCCCUGCAUGCAGCAACUUUAUAACUUCCUUUUUAACUACCUCUCUCAUAGUGUUGUUAAGUCUACGUUGGGGUUCUUGAGAAGGUGAAACAGAAGGAUCUGUUGGAAUACGAUGGGUACAAAUCAUAGGACUGAUUCCUGUAAGAUGUUGGAGUGAGUAACCGAAAACUGAGUGAUGUUUCUCAAGAAUGGUCAUUAAUCGCAGAGUUUGCUCCUCAGUGAGUUUAUCGCUAAUGAUCACAGGAAACUCUGGAUUAUUGUUUAGGAAAGCAUAGAUAAGACCGGGUGCUAAAGUUUUAAGCUCUAUGGGGGGGUCUAGGUGUUUCUGCAAACUCAUCUAAGGGUUCAGGUUCAGAAGGUUCGGCUUCUUCUUCUAUGAAGAAAGGAGUUUCGUCUUCUAAGUCUGAUUCUUCUAAAAGUUCAAGAGAUGCAUCCUUUACCUCCUCCAUAGGAUCAGGCAAAAGAUAUGACUCGGCCUUAUUAUUCAAAGAGUGUGAAAUUGUUAUUGGGAUUUUAAAAGCUUUUCUAAAAGAAAUGUGUAGCUUUCCAGUAUGACCUUCAUAAAGGAGUCUUCUAAAAGGUUGUCCUAUCAACAGGUCGAGGUCCCAUGUAUCAAAGAUAUAGAAGUUCAAAUGAACCAUGGAGCCUUCUACCGUAAGAGGUAGGACAUUAAUAAUUCCAAGACUGGGGACUAAUCAUCCUGAAGAUUCCUUUAUGACUUUUGUUGUGGGGGUUAAGACAAGAUUUUUAAAUAGUUUAAGUGCAAAAGUUUCAAACAUGAUGUUGAUCCCCACAACAGGAUUAUAGAGAGCAUUAAAUCGAUCAGAAUUAUAAGCACAGCGUAUAGUUAUAGAGGGUGUGCCCAAAUGGAUCACAUUAGAGGAAAGCUCUGAUUCCUCCAACCACUCGCUACUCAUGACUGAGAUAAGCUCUCUCAAUUGAUAUUCACUUGGAAAAUAAAUGCUAAACUGGCCAUUUUGGGGUUUAUCAAUAGAAUGGUAGUUUGAAAUGUUUCCAAAGUCGGCAAAAAGAUCGGAUUCUAUAUCCAGCAUGAAGUCCGGUGGUGGAAUUUCUUCCUCUUGUGGCUCAGAACAUGGGAUAGCUAAAGUAGAUGAAGAAUUUGGCAGAGUGUCUACUUCGGCUUCGUAGGUUUCAUCAUGAAGGGUAUUAUCCAUCUCAGCUUCUAGGAUUCUAUCAAGGAUCACUCUAGCUUCAUCAGUAGGGAUGCGAAAGAAAGAACCUCUAGACAUUGUGUGUAGCAUUUGUUUGUGAUUUUUCUAAAGACCUCGAAAAAAGUGAAAUAAAAGAAUAGGGUCUUCAAGAUUAUGGUUUGGACCAGAUUCUAAAAGAUUAGAAAAACAUUUCCAAGAUUUUCCCAAAGUUUCAUUAUCUUUUUGUUUAAAAGAUAGGACUUCGAGUCUAAGGUCGCCGAUACGGUCGAGAGAAUAAAAAUCUAGACAAAAGUUGGCUCGUAAAACUCCACAUUCACCUCGUUGUUGACUUACCUUCUGACUGUAUCAUUGUCUAGCUUCUCCCCUUAAGGAAAAAGGAAAAAGCUUCCAACGUAAAGUUUUAUCAGAAAUGCCUUCAAUGCGAAGACAAUCACAUGUUUGCUCAAAAUCUCUAAUAUGAAGGUAAGGGUUUUCGUCUUCCUUUCCCGAAAAAGAUAGGUUUUGAAUCAUAGCAAUCAACCUAGAACUUAACCUAUAUUGGGAUGUUUGGAUAGGCUGUGAUGACUCCCAUGGUAAAAGGUCAGUUUCCGAAGGUGUUGCAAAUUGGUAGAUUGAUUGAGAAUCUUGGUUUUCCAUAAGGUAAGAGAAAAUAAAUACAGAAUAUAAAAGAUAAGAAAAGAUAAAAGUAUAGAUACAAGCUAGUAGUAAGACUAAAGGUUAUCUCAGCAAACCGUCUUUCUCCCCGGCAACGGCGCCAGAAAUGCUUGUUGAUAUUUAGGAACGCAAUAAGGAAUUGAUCCGCAAGCGCACGGAUAUCGGUGAGCAUUUCACCCGAGAGGUUAUCCAGAGUAACGUAUUUAUUUUUUUACCACUAGGAGAAAGAGUGCAUCUGACUAACCUGGUCUAUUACUACUAACCCUUUAGGCAACAAAGAAUAUUUCUCGAUGUGAGUGAUAAAUAGAGAAGACUACAACCGUAAUCUCCUUCUAACCUUGGUAAGGAUGAUUUACUGUUCUAUUGGGGAGGCUAACGGAAUCUAGACAGCACAAAGGAUGUUCAACCUGUAGACACCACAAAGGAUGUUCAACCUGCACCUAUAAACCCUAUCCUUCAUGCUAACGAGAUAUGGUCUGCAAAGGUAACUCGAAAAUGUCACGUUCCUCGCUACUACCAUGGUCUAGCUAGUCAGGGAAUAUCUAUGAGUAUCCUAGCCCAAACACCACGUCUACGCUAGAGAUGAUUACUCUAAACUCUACGCAAAGAGAUUAAAGUAAACUCAUAAACCAAAGAACAAUAAAACAAGAACUUACUAGAAUUUAGAAGUUAAAAUACUGAAGAAUGCUAGGAGGAAGCUUCGGGUUAGGAGAACUUGAUCCCGCAGGUACAAGCUCGGAGUAGACACCGACAGGCCGGGCUUUCUCCGAUCUACACCUCCACUCUAUCUCUCUCAAUCUAGUAGAAACUAGAAGAUCUAUUUCUACUCACAUUGGUUGCUAAGCCUAAAAAGAAAUUUUAUUUAGAGAAGAGGUUUUCCUUCUGUUGGGUAUUCUUAACAUCAUUACCAAAAGUAGACUAAGUUCUCUAAAUCUAGUAAUGGUGCCAAAAAUACCAAACCUAUCCCUCAUACCACUUAAGCCAAGUUGUCAUCCCCAGCAUGACAUGAGAGACGCGGUAUUGAAAUAUGCAAUUGCUCUUCUAAAUAAAUAAUGAAUGGGAUCUGCAAGCGCACAGAUUAAUACCGAUGUAGCAUUUUAACCGGGAAGUAUUCCAGGUAUCGUUAUUUAUAUUUUUACCAAUGGGAAGGGAUUAACAAUCAUCAAUAUUGGUUACAGAAUAGAAUAUGAGAUUGAGUAUCUAUCAUUGCAUGUAUAAUUGAGAACAUUUAUCUAACUCUUCAUACAGGGAUAAGUGUCACAUAAAAGAUAUAUGAAAUAAUGAAUAGUGACAAGGAUAAUUAAUCUGAUCAGCCACAUAUAAAUAUGAUAAGCACCUCAAUUAGAUACUCUAGAAAGUCAUUUGCUUGGUAUUAGAACGAACUACAAGAAUAUUUCCUAAGUUAUUCUCAACUAUAUAGUCUAGCAUUAUCAUAAUUAGUGCAAGAAUACUUAGCAAUCGUUGUGAGACAAGACUACACCCAUGCAUAGUGAUAUUAGCAAGGUAAAUGAGAAACAUAGCAAUCACUCCCCUGUAAUAAUAUUGCUCUGCCAGCCCAAUACACGAGAGGGGGACUAUAUAACAAUCAAUGAAGCUGUCACUAUCACGAACUACCCCACGAUCUGGCAUAUUGGGUACAAUAGCAGAUAAAUAUGGUAUAAGCACCACGCCUACACAAUAUCUAUCAUUUACCCAUGGAUCCGAUGGAUAAACGCUAUACGAUCCUAAGCAUGUAUAUAGAUCCAAUCUAACUAAGCCAAGUACAUAACUAUGAUAAACUAAGAACAAUAUAAUCUUGAAUAUAAGAAAGUAGAGCAAAGUCAUAAGCAAUAUAUUGAAGUAGAACAAAGUCAUAUGCAUAGUAUUGAAGAACAAAGAUAAUUAGAAAGCAAUUAGAAGCACAAUUAGAGAAUUACCAAGAAUCCUCUUGACAGAUCUAGAAACCAAUCGAAGAUUGACUCCUUCUAGUUCUAAUCCUAUGUAGCUAUGCUAAUCUAGAUAUCUAAUUGAUGUGGUGACUCUAAUCUUGAUCAGAGGCUUCUUCUCCCUUGAGGAAUAAUGAAUUAGGGUUGAGUGGCUCUCUCCUCUAGGGUCCAGGGGGUCUGGUUUUAUAGUCCCUUCAAGUGAAUAUGGGCCGUUGGAUCAAACCGACAUAGAUUGAACGGUUAUCCUUGAUCCUUUAGGUCGGUGGAGAUCUCCCGAGAAACAGAUUCCUGAUUGGCCUCCAAGUCAGGGCGGGCGCCCAGGGCAGGAGGGCGGGCGCCCUGCCUCUGGCCCCGUUCGGCCUCCGCUUCCUUCCCGUGGCUUCUGGAGUCUUCUAGAUGUAAGAUAAUUGCGCGGCACGUUGAUAUCUCUAUGUAAUCCCGACGUGUGGGUCUUUCUUCCGUAUUUCCUGAUAACCCCCUGCAGAAAUAGACAAACACCAAAACUCGUGGAAUUCUGUCAGAUAAAACCCUAAGUCUAGAUGUUGAUUUCAUUUGGAUCCUUUUCUUUGUUUAUUUGAUAAAUAAAUUUGAUACUUAAGGACAGUCAACAAAAUCCCCCAAGCUUACCUCUUGCUCGUCCCUGAGCAAAGAUAAUCUCCGCGAUGGAUUAGAAGUUGUUGCAAUAUCUUUAAAAAUUAACGGUACACAUGCUUUUUAAAUAAGAUCUUAUCUCUGAGUUAGAGUAAACUGUCAAGACUUAAAACUUACUUACUUUACCUUCACCAUGGGACUUGUAACCGUCACUUCUGUCUUGAGUAGUUAAAAGAUAGAAUAGUCUAGUCAAGUGCCAUGUCCCUUAUUCUUGAUCAGCUAUAGCUCUAGAGUUUUUGCAGAUUUUCAAAUAAAACUCAGAGAUUCCUUGUAUGAUUCUCUCAGAUCUCUCUUUUGUGGUAUUUCUGGAUCCUUACCAAGGCAGUGAUGGUAUAUGCCUUCUCUCAAGAUAUGUAGUAUUUGUGGUAUAAAGCAUAGUGACAUUGUCUUCUCUCUCACCCUACUCUAAUAAGGCUUUAAUAUCUGGAGCUCAUAGGUGGAAGAUAAAGUAUACAUACUUACAAGACAUUUAUUGUAUAGUCAAACCAUGGAUCCAAAGAAACAAAUCAAUAAGCCAAAUCAAGAUGUGCAUGUGUGGCGAAUGAAUGGUGUAUGGUGAUGAUGGUGAUAACAAUGGUGAAAGCCUAAUUCUACUUUUGCUCUUUUGAGGGGAUAUAUACCUUCCUUGCUUUUUGAAACUUUAUGAGGAGAAUGAGAUGCUCUUUUUUUUUCUCUCAGGUGGGUAUCUUGUACCCCUAAUUCUACUGUCGGACACUUGUCUAUUUUUACCUUUUGUCUCACUUUUUCUUUUCUUUCGAGGUUCCGGGCACUUGCCCCUUUUUAUUUCCUCGUAUCUCUUUUUUUUAGAGCACUCAUCUCUCGAGAUAAUAUAGCAAGUGGUAGUAACAAGAUAACUUGAGCAUUUAUUUCACAGGGAAAAAACAUAAAUGUUUUUGGCUAUUCUCUCUCGGAUUAGGAGUAGAAUAUUUUUGGUUGGUUCUGGAGAUGGAAUGGGUGGAUAUAUGUGGAUGGUACUUCCGGAGUAGAAGCAGCAUAUAUGAGUGAACGUGCAAGUGAAAUCUUGAUUUAACCACAUGACAAGCUCCUAAGGGUCUACACAGCUUGACCACACUCAAUGCUCAUAAGCAGUAAAUAAUAAAUGUGUAGCUCAAAGUCUGGCAAGCAUCUAUAUAUGGUUGUGGUAGGAAUUUAAACUCUCAUCAUACAGGAACUUAUCAUGCAACAUUUUAAAGAUUUUCAUAAAUAAAAUUCUCUAGAAUUCUAGCAUCUUUAGGAACAGAUAAACAGCAGCCCAACCUUCCCAUAUCAUAUCCGUUAACAACUUAGACUUCAGAUCAAGUUUUCAUCCCACAAGUUUAGGUCUAGAGCAAGCUUAAAUUAUAACAGUUAUAUCUAAACUUGAGAGAGAACUUCAAAUGUGCAAACUAGGUAGAGCAACUAUUCAUCAUAUCCAUGAUAAUGUUUUAUUUAGAUACAUAUUAGCAUAGCCACUUUAUUUAUUUAUUAAACACACUAAGCAAAAGAUAUAUAUAUAUAAGCACAAAAUCUUUAUUUGGUUUUUCAUAGUUAUAUAUAUUUAUAUUCUAAUAUAAUAUAAGUGUAAAGAUAGAUAGAAAUACUUAUCGGGAUAAAUGGGGGUGCUCUCCCCCAAGCUGAAUUUUGACGUAAUUUCUCUUGAUGUAACUAGCAGGUGGUAGAGGUGUAUUUGAAAGUCAGCAGCAUUCUGACAGUGAUUAGAAUGUCCUCCGUCUGCUAGUCUUCUUGAUUCUUAAAUUCUGUGGAGCUCAAAUAGACAACAAAGCUUGUGGAACUGAUUAAGUGUUAGCAUAAAUAUCUAGCCUUUAUCAUGUUGAGACUCCUUAAUAAAUAUUACUCCCUAUUUUUUAUAUUUUCAUUUUAUAAAGCAGAGAAGAAAUAUUUAUUUUGUUUUUAUGCCACAACAGUGAAUGUACUUAUGGGUUUUAUGCCACUCGUCUACUCACAUGGUGCUUACUGUUUUUUCACAUUAUUAUUAUUAUUUUUUUUAAGAUAGUAUGAACCUAAUUAACUAAGUAAACUAGUUGAAAUAAUUGAAAGGAAAAAGAUAACUACCAAGUUUACCUCUUGGCAAGGCGUUCGGUGUUUUUAAGUCCCCCGAACGGGACUCUCCGUUUUCUCAAUUGUCCAGGGAUUCGUUGGGUGGCGUAGUCGGUAUUUCCGGCAGCGCCUCCUCUUCAUGUAUAGUUAUCUUCACUUUCCAUACCUGACUCGGUGCUACGGUCUCCUCAGGAUAGUUCUGUUUAAACUCUACAUCUUCUGAUCUUACAACUUCUCCUUCAUAUUCUGCCCAUCCAUCCUUGAUGAUUUGCCUCCUCUGGUUUCGGUUGCGUCGUUUUCUGACCUGCUUAGAUUCUUCAACGAUAUAGUCAGGGUCAAUAAAAUAACGGCGUACCUUCUCUGAGGGGAAGUGCAUAUGGACUUCUCCAUUUCCAAUGUAGAUGAUUGCUUUAACGGUGCUGAGGAACGGUCUUCCAAGGAUGAUGGGUGGAUCGCAUUCGUCUUCUCCCAUGUCAAUAACUUGAAAGUCUGUGUAGACAAAAUGAUCGUCUAUUUUGACUGGGACAUCAAUUACUGUUCCUUUAACCUCUCAAAAUGUCUGAUCUGCCAUCUAGAGCUGAAUGUAUGUUGGUCUUAGGGGCAUGGUUCCGAACAAGAGCCGAUAGGUGACUGCGGCCAUUAUGUUGACGCCCGAUCCAGUGUCGCAAAACGUCUUGUAGAAGCUGUAUCCAUUUAUUGAGCAGUAGAUGCUUGGCAUUCUUGGGUCGUCCUUCUUGGUCAAAAAUGGUGACUUGAGUUGAUGAUCUUGGCCUCCAGAACUGCAGUGACCAUCUUAGCUGACUCGGUCCACACUUGCUUGUGUUGGGUAUUCUUAACAUCAUCACCAAAAGUAGACUAUUCUCUAAAUCUAGUAACGGUGCCGAAAAUGCCAAACCUAUCCCUCACACCACUUAAGCCAAGUUGUCAUCCCCAGCAUGAUAUAAGAGACGUGGUAUUGAAAUAUGCAAUUGCUCUUCUAAAUAAAUAAUGAAUGGAAUCUGCAAGCGCACAGAUUAAUACCGAUGCAGCAUUUUAACCGGGAAGUAUUCCAGGUAUCGUUAUUUAUAUUUUUUACCACUGGGAAGGGAUUAGCAAUCAUCAAUAUUGAUUACAGAAUAGAGUAUGAGAUUGAGCAUCUAUCAUUGCAUGUAUAGUUGAGAACAUUAUAUCUAACUCAUCAUACAGGGAUAAGUGUCACAUAAAAGAUAUAUGAAUUAAUGAAUAGUGACAAGGAUAACUAAUCUGAUCUAGCCACAUAAUAAAUAUGAUAAGCACCUCAAUUAGAUACUCUAGAAAGUCAUUAGCAUGGUAUUAGAACGAACAACAAGAAUAUUCCCUAAGUUAUUCUCAACUAUAUAGUCUAGCAUCAUCAUAGUUAGUGCAAGCAUACUUAGCAAUCAUUGCGAGACAAGACUACGCCCAUGCAUAGUGAUAUUAGCAAGGAAUAUGAGAAACAAAGCAAUCACUCCCUUGUAAUAAUGUUGCUCUACCAGCCCAAUACACGAGAGGAGGACUAUAUGAGAAUCAAUGAAGCUGUCACUAUCACGAACUACUCCACGAUCUGGCAUAUUGGGUACAAUGGCAGAUAAAUACGGUAUAAGCACCACGCCUACACAAUAUCUAUCAUUUACCCAUGGAUCCGAUGGAUAAACGAUAUACGAUCCUAAGCAUGUAUAUAGAUCCAAUCUAACUAAGCCAAGUACAUAACUAUGAUAAACAAAGAACAAUAUAAUCUUGAAUAUAAGCAAGUAGAGCAAAGUCAUAAGCAAUAUAUUGAAGUAGAACAAAGUCAUAUUCAUAAUAUUGAAGAACAAAGAUAAUUAGAAAGCAAUUAGAAGCACAAUUAGAGAAUUACCAAGAAUCCUCCUGACAGAUCCGGAAACCAAUCGAAGAUUGACUCCUUCUAGUUCUAAUUCUAUGUAGCUAUGCUAAUCUAGAUAUCUAAUUGAUGUGGUGGCUCUAAUCUUGAUCAGAGGCUUCUUCUCCCUUGAAGAACAAUGAAUUAGGGUUGAGAGGCUCCCUCCUCCAGGGGCCAGGGGGUCUGGUUUUAUAGUCCCUUCAAGUGAAUAUGGGCCGUUGGAUCAAACCGACAUAGAUUGAACGGUUAUCCUUGAUCCUUUAGGUCGGAGGAACGUCAUGUGCGAAAAGAGUCUCGAACCAAGUCUAGAGGGCGGCGGGCGCCCAGUGCCUGGCCCCGUUCGGCCUCCGCUUCCUUCCCGUGGCUUCUGGAGUCUUCUAGAUGGUAGAAAAUUGCGCGGUGCGUUAAUAUCUCUAUGUAAUCCCGACAUGUGGGCCUUUCUUCCUUAUUUCCUGAUAACCCCCUGCAGAAACAGAUAAACAACAAAACUCGUGGAAUUCUGUCAGAUCAAACCCUAAUUCUAGGUGUUGUUUGCAUAUUGGUCCUUUCUCUUGUUUAUUUGAUAAUUAAAAUUGAUACUUAAGAACCGUCAACAAAACCCACUUUUCCAUUUUACAAUUAUCUCUGUAAAUCUUUCAGCUGACAUAGUCUCAUCGGUAAUUCCAGCCGAUCGGCCUCUAGUUCCAUCGGCCUCAACUAGUGAGAGGCGAGAGAUAGCUCUGAAACUAGUAAGUUACCUGAUCUCUAUUUUUGUCAUUACCAGUACUUGAUCAUUAAAUAACUUAUUUUUAUCUUCCUUUUCAGGAACAGGAUUCUCCCGACAGCUUGUUUUCCUUCUCCAUCGAAAUCUCUGAGGAUGAAGGCGAGGAAGCAAGUUUGUCUCGAGCGGUUGGAAUCUCAUCGGCAGAGAUUAGAGCAAAGUUGGAAGAUUUGUCGGCCCUCCUACAUCAAGACACGACUCAAUUGGUUGAUGACUCCGGUCCGGCCAAGGCCCUGUUUAAGACUCUCAGAGGACAAAUUCCUGUCGAUGCCGAGGAGAUCCUCUUCAAGGCGGCCCACUUGGAGAGUCGACAGCUUUAGUAUCAAAAGGCUGUUCAGCGCCUUGCUGAUAGAGCUACUCACGCCCAGCUCUCAGAUGAAAUGAUGAAAGUAAAGCUCCUUGCCGAUGAAAAGCAUAAGAGCAUCGGCAUUCUGAAAUCCUCAGGAGACGUGCUGAAGCAAAAGAUCUCUGAUCUAUCGGCAAAGAGAGAAUCCUUCUUGCAAAACUCAAACAAGUGGAAGAAGCUCUGUCCCAAGCUCAAUAGGAAGAAAACCAGUUGCCUGAAGCAAUCAAGACCCUUGAAUAAGAACGAAACAUCCAAGCUCGCAAAGCACUGCAGAUGAAGAAGAAACUGCAGCCAGUGGAGGGUUCUGCCGAUGAAGACAUGAAGGAGAUAGAAGAAGCCGACCAGAUUCGUCUGCGCGCCAUAUCGACGAUCCAGGCCCUGCUGAGCAUAUAAAUUCUUCAUCGACGGCAUGUUCUGCUCUUUUCUUUUAAACACUCUUGAUUAUUUUCGUCUAGCCGAUAGGACUGUUAUCGGCACCUUUUCAAACAUUAAGUCCGGUUCCAGAUACACUUUAAUCCAGCCGAUAGGAAUGUUAUCAGCACUUAAACUUUCAUGCAUCAAACCAUAUGCUAGGAUAAUAUUUCUUUAAGUAUUUGCCAUUCAAUGCCCUGGGAAAUUCACUCCUUCGAGAGUUUCUAAAAUAUAGGCAUUGCCAGGAGCAGAUCGGUUUAUCCGAUAAGGACCCUCCCAAUUGGGAGACCAUUUCUCAAACUUUGAACUUUUAGUCCCGAUCGGUAAGAUUAGUUUCCAUACUAAGUCUCCAUCGGCAAACUCCUUAGCCUUUACUUUCUUAUCAUACCAUCUGGCAACUCUCUUUUUAUUUUCUUCCAUGCUUAUCAAAGCCCUCAGCCGAUGCCCUGCUAAAUCAUCCUAUUCGUCCGUCAUCAAAGUAGCAUAGUCAUCGGCAGUCAAUUGAUCUUGAAAAGAUAGUCGCCUAGAUCUAGUCUUAAUUUCCCAAGGUAGCACUGCAUCAUGCCAUACACCAACUGAUAAGGCAAAACUUUAGUUGACCCAUGACAAGCCAUCCGAUAUGACCACAAAGCUUCAUUCAACAAUGUAUGCAACCUCCUAGGACUCUCUUCAAUCUUCCGUUUAAUAAGUUUGAUGAUUCCUUUGUUAGACGCUUCGGCCUGCCCAUUAGCUUGAGCAUAAUAAGGAGAAGAAUUCAAUACCUUAAUUCCCAUACCGAUUGCAAAUUCAUCAAACUCGCCCGAUGUGAACAUAGUACCCUGAUCGGUAGUAAUCGUUUGAGGAAUACCAAAUCGGUAAAUAAUAUGCUCCUUUACAAAAUCAAUCAUAUUGGCCGAUGUGACUUUCUUCAAAGGAAUUGCUUCAACCCACUUGGUGAAAUAAUCAGUAGCAACCAAGAUGAACUUGUGCCCUUUCCUAAAAGGUGGAUAAAUCUGGCCGAUCAAAUCAAUAGCCCAUCCUCGGAACGGCCAAGGUUUAAUAAUGGGAUUCAUGGCCGAUGCGGGUGCUCUUUGAAUAUUGCCGAAUUUCUGGCACCCUUGACAUCCCUUGAAAUAUUUAAAACAAUCUUCAAUUAUGGUUGGCCAAUAAUACCCAUUCCUCCUAAUCAUCCAUUUCAUCUUAAAAGCCGACUGAUAUGCUCCACACACUCCUUCAUGGAUCUCCCCCAUCAAACUUUUAGCUUCAUCAUCACCUAAGCAUUUGAGAAGAACUCCAUCGAUUGUUCGAUAAUAUAAUUCAUCCUCAAGGAGCACAUAUUUGGUGGCUUGAAACCGAAUACGUCUCUCAACCUUCUUAGAUGGAUCCUUUAAAUAAUCAAUGAUUUAUUUUCUCCAAUGAUCGGCACCGAUUGCCGAUAUUGUAUUUCAUAUGGGCUGAUAUCCCGAGGCAUGCUGAGCCAACCGAUUAGCUUCCUCAUUAUGUAAUCGAGAAACAUGCUGUAAUCGGAAAUCUUUGAAUUCCUUUAACAGUUGUAUACUCUUUUCGUAAUAAGGUAUCAGGACUUCACUUCAGCAUUCAUAGCUUCCAGCCAAUUGAUUUAUAACCAGCAUAGAAUCCUCGAAGACUUCAAUAGCAUCAGCAUGAACUUCUCUUAACAACUCUAACCCCUUGAUUAAAGCUUGAUAUUCGGCUUGAUUAUUCGUUGACGUAGCAACAAUCGGCAAAGAGAACUCAUACUUCCUUCUCUUAGGGGAAAUUAACACUAUGUCGAUUCCUGCCCCCCGGUCACACGUAGAUCCAUCAAAGAAGAGCGUCCAAGGUACGAUCUCCAAAGUAUCCACUGUACCCCGAUGUUGAGUCACAAAAUCAGCCCUGAUCUGUCCCAUAACAGCCUUAGCCGAUUCGUACCGCAGAUCAAAUUCCGACAGUGCCAAAAUCCAUUUGCCGAUCCGACCACUCAUAAUCGGCAUAGACAGCAUAUAUCGGACUACAUCAUCUUUGCAUACAACAGUGCAUUCGGCCGAUAGUAAAUAGUGCCUCAACUUAAUGCAGGAGAAAUAUAGGCAUAAACAUAAUUUUUCAAUAGCCGAAUAUCUGGUUUCAGCAUCGAUCAAUCAUCUGCUUAAAUAGUAAAUCACUCGUUCCUUCCCUUCAAAUUCUUGAAUCAAAGCCGAACCUAUGACCAUCCCAUCGGUAGAUAAAUAUAAUCUGAAGGGCUUUCCUUGCUGAGGUGGAAUUAAAACUGGAGGAUUUACCAAGUAAUUCUUGAUUUCAUCUAAAGCCAGCUAUUGCUCUUUUCCCCAUAUGAACUCUUGAUCGGCUUUUAAUUUAAGCAAAGGACUGAAAGCACGAAUUUUACCAGAUAAAUUAGAUAUAAAUCGCAUGAUAAAAUUUACCUUGCCGAUCAAGGAUUGUAGCUCAGUUUUGUUAGUAGGGGCAACAAUUUUGUUGAUAGCAUCAAUAGAUUGUCUACUAAUUUCAAUUCCUCUCUGAUGCACCUUGAAACCAAGAAACUGCCCUGCCGAUACACCAAAUGCACACUUAUUGGGAUUCAUCUUUAAACCAUGUUUCCUUGUGCAUUCCAACACCUUUCGCAAGUUGGCAAGAUGCUUUGUGAAAUCUCCAGACUUAACCACCACAUCAUCAAUAUAAAUUUCCACCAGCUUGCUGAUGAACUCAUGGAAGAUAAAAUUCAUAGCCCUCUGAUAGGUAGCACCAGCAUUUUUCAAACCAAAGGUCAUGACUAUCCAUUCAUAUAACCCAACAUGACUAGGACAUCUAAAUGCAGUCUUUGGAAUAUCUUCCUCAGCCAUGAAUAUUUGAUUAUAUCCUGCAUUGCCAUCCAUGAAGCUAAUAAUCCGAUGCCCAGCCGCAUCAUCAACCAAUAAAUCGGCAACCGGCAUCGGGUAACCAUCCAUCAGCGUAGCUUUGUUAAGAUUCCUGAAAUCAAUGCAAACUCGAAGCUUCCCAUUUUUCUUGUACACUGGGACAACAUUAGAAAUCCACUCGACGUACCGACACUGCCGAAUAAAUUUAGCUUCGAUAAGUUUGGUUAUUUCGGCCUUAAUAUCAGGAAGAAUAUUAGGAUUGCAUCGGCGAGCUGGCUCUUGAUGUGGCCGAAAUCCAAACUUGAUAGGCAACCGAUGUCCAACAAUCGAUCGGUCUAAACCAGGAAUCUCAGUAUAAUCCCAAGCAAAGCAAUCUUUGUAUUCCUUUAACAAAUCGGUUAACUGCUGCUUACACUUAGAAUUCAACUUAGCACUAAUAAAAGUAGGUCUAGGUUUAUCACCACUAUCUAUAUCUACCUCUACUAAAUCAUCGGCCGAUGUGAACCCCUGGCCUAGCUUUCCAUCAUCGGCGAACCUAUCCAUUAAAACUCUUCAUCAGAACCGACUGCUUGGAUCGGUGGAAUUUCAUAAUCGGCAACUUUGAGGAAAUCCUUCUCCCAAACACCUGGUUCUUUCAUAAGUAUCUGCCUCUGCCGAUGCAAUAACAUAAGAAGAAUCUCCCGAGACAAUCUCAAUCUUGUCACCUACCCACUGAACCAAGCAUUGGUACAUUGUGGAUGGGAUGAAACAAUGGGCAUGAAUCCAAUCUCUCCCUAGGAGCAAAUUAUAAGCACCUUUCCCACUGAUCACGAAGAAAGUCGUCGGCAAGGUUUUGCUGCCGAUGACCAACUCGACGCAUAUUGCCUCUUUAACCGGAGACACAUUUCCUUCAAAGUCCUUUAGCAACAUAUCGGUCUUGGUCAAAUCUUGAUCUCCGUUCCCAAGCUUCCGAUAGACUGCAUAAGGCAUAAUGUUGAUAGCAGCCCCACCGUCAACAAGUAUCUUGGUCAUCGGCUGCCCGUCAACCCUUCCUUUGACAAACAAAGCUUUACAGUGCUGCCUUUCAUCGUCAGUAGGCUUUUCAAAGAUAGCUGUCAUUGGAUCCAAAGCCAACUGAGCUAUCUGGUCAGAAAAAUCCAGCCCCUCAUCAUCACUGGAUGGCGCAAGGAACUCCAUCGGCAACAUAAAUACCAUGUUGACAUCUGCCGAUGGCCUUUCCCCUUAGGAUCCGGUUGCUGCUGAUCUCCAGACUUGCCAGAAUUCUCACCUUUGUUUAGCUCUUCUCGUCUUUCACGCUGCAGCCGCCUCUUCUGUGUCCUAGUCAACCCCUCUGGACAUCAUGGAGGAAGUUGUGGCUGCCUUACCGAUGGGCGACGAUUCUCCCUUGGCUCCGCUCGAUACGUAUUGGCAUCCCCUGAAACUGCCGAUCAUGAACUGAAGCUCUCCCCCAGAUCGGCCCAUUAAAUCGGCGGUCAUUGUUCUGAUACUGCCGAUUUGAUCUGUCAUAUCGAUCAUAACCAUUGCAUUCAGGGCAGUCUCUGACGGUAGGAAGCUUAAUAUUUUGCUCCGAACAAUGGAUAAAGAACGGACAAUUCCAAUGAUCCCUAUGCCGAUUCCACUCCUGUCGGCGUCUUUCUUCUUCCCGACGAUAAUCCUCCUGCUGGUGCCGAUACCGAUCUUCAUGUUGCUGCCGAGUCUCCCGAGGCCUUCUAUGAGUUAUCACGAUACCAGAUCGGGGAGGCCUCCCUAAGUUAGUUUCCUCUUGGAUCAAACCUUUUCCUUUAGCAUCGACAGCAGUAAUCAGAUGCUGAGGAUCCACCGAUGCAGUCCUUUCAGCUGCUUCUGACGUCAAGACCUUGGUCUUUCCCUUAGCAUCCAACAUAUUUGUCGGGAAAGGAUGUUGGUCAAUUUUCAUCGGCUUCUGCGCUUUAGAACUAUCAAACUUGAUUCUCCCAUAUUCUAUAGCCGAUUGCAGCUGUUGCCUGGAAACCUUGCAUUCAUUGGUGCUGUGAGAAGUCGCAUUGUGCCAUUUGCAAUAUUUCAUCUUCUUCAACUCCUCAGCGGAUGGAAUUACAUGAUUGGGUGAUAAUUUGAUCUGGCCUUCCUGAAGUAGAAAGUCAAAUAUCCUAUCGGCUUUGGUGAUAUCAAAUGAAAACUUCUCUGGCUCUUUAUGCCCAAAAGGGCAAGACAUCGGCUUUUUGUUCUUCACCCACUCUACUAAGCCAAUGACUGGCUCUUCAUCAGAAUCUGAGCUUGCUGCCUCAUCAACAAAUGAUACCUUUUUGUUCCAUGCCCUCUUGAGUUCAAAAGGCUUAAUAUCUUGGUCAGAAAUCCUUUGCACCAAGUGACUCAAACUUUUGAACUCUUGAGAAGCGUACUUGUCUCUGAUAUGUGGCAACAGCCCCUGAAAAGCCAAAUCGGCAAGCUACCGAUCAUCUAGAACCAGGCUAUGACAUUUAUUCUUGACUUCCCGCAGCCUCUGCACAAAGCUUUCAACCGAUUCAUCAUUGCGCUGCUUCAUCAUGACUAAAUCGGUAAUUUUCUUCUCAUGAACUCCAAAGAAGAAGUACUUGUGGAAUUGAUUCUCUAGAUCGGCCCAAGUGAUCACUGAGUUGGGAGGUAGCGAGAUAAACCAGGUAAAAGCCGAUCCAGACAAAGAUGAUGAAAACAGACGAACCCUCAAUUCAUCGUGUUAGCAGCUUCCCCACAUUGGAUGAUGAACCUAUUGACAUGCUCCAUAGUCGAUGUAUCAUCCUAUCCAGAAAACUUAGUGAAAUCUGGUACCUUAUACCGAUUUGGAAGUGGAAUCAAAUCAUAUGAGGGAGGAUACGGUGUCUGAUAAGAGUAAGUGUUGACUUUAGGUUUUAUUCCAAAUGGGUCUCUCAUUACUUCAGCUAUCUCAUCGGCCCAAUAAGCAUCGGCAUCUUGCCGAUGAGGCGGUUGUGGAUCUGGCACCUGCAGAUAUGCUUCCACGUGUCUCUGGGGUGCACGAUCUACAUGGAACAUAGGGUUGAUCAUCCGACCACCAAUCUGUUGACCGAGAUUCAACGGCUGGUUAACCAAUCCUUGAUUCUGAAAACCAGGUUGGACUUGUCCUUGUUGAAACCCUGUAGCCUGAUGAUUCUGUUGAGAUAUUUGUGGGAAGACAAACUGUCCAUUCCAUCCACUGUUAGUAUUCAUCGGCAUAAGCCCUGCCGAUGUCUGAUAAUUGGGCAUCAUCAUCGAAUUGACAUACCCUGGCUGUGUCAUAAACCUCUGCUGCAUCGGCAUUGAAUCUGACGAUGCGUUAGGCAUCUGGAAUGUUGGAGCUUGAGAAUUCCCAGUGUAAGGUCUUGCAGUAGUAGUUGUAGUAUACUGGGGACUCUGAUUCUUCGGCGGAUUUGGAGGUGCCAAUGCCAUAGGAGCCUUGCCUCUCGUGUUAGCCACUUGAGAUGUUCUAGGAGUUUUCAACAUCAUCUCUGGAGGCAUACCAUAACCCCACCAGUUGGGAGGAACUGAUCCCGACAUUGCCGAUGCCAAUAGAUCUGUAGCGAGCUUGAUCUGCCCUUCGGAUGUUGAUGGAUUGGUCUUCAUCGGCGUAGAUUGCACAUAAGUGAGUCUUGACGUGCUUGGGGAGGCAGUAGUUGCCAUGCCCACAGCGGCCGUAGCAGCCGAUGGAGCUGUGACCACUGGUGAUCCUAGCUGAUGAUAGACAGGGCCCACAUAAUUUGGAGGCAAUUGUCCUUCCUUAAAUGUUGUAGCCACAUCGUUGAAAACUGUGUUGGACAGCACACCAGCUUGAUUGAUCAAGGCACGGUUAAUAGCAUUAUCAACCAUGUCUUGAAGUUUACUAGGAUUGGCUUCAAAAGUAACCUGCCGAGGCGCCGCCAGUGCUUCUUUCUAGAUUACUUCGCCACUCCUGUUGAUGCUGAAGGAUUUCAAUCAUUGCUGCUUGUAGUCCUCCAUGGCUUUUGCAAAAGCUUGCUUUUGCUCAUCUUUGAGAUUGGCUUCUGUCACCGGGAUGACGUUCUCCGGAUCGAACUCGGUAUUGGCCAUGUCGAUCUUGAUCUUGAAUCUUGUAUCUGGUCCCACCGGGCAUGCCAAAAGAUGUGUUGGUGCAAAAGCUGAUCUUCAAACACAAAGGGCUAAUACCCAAUUUAAACGUUAAGGCGUGCCAGCCGAUUUGACCUUACUAUCGGCAAAGGUGAUAACUCGAACACUUUGGUCCCAACAACAGCGAUGCGCCCGGAUGUCACAGCCAAGAGGUGCUCACACAGAACUUGAGAAUGCGCCGAGCUUAAGUCGACGAAUUCCUAAGAACUCGUAGUAAAAAGGAAAAUAUGAUAAAGUCGUCGAAAAAGUAGAUGCUGGAAUAAGAGUAAAAACUUGUGUUUGAUUGAUUGAUAGAUUGUUCAUUACAAGGCCCUAGGGUCUACAUUUAUACCCUACUUAAAGAGCUACAAUCAGACAUGACUAGGACUCAAAUUCCAAAUCAAAUGGAAUCUGUAUACAAAACAAAUUUAAAUAACUAAGGAAAACAUAAAACUAUCCCCUUGUAAUCGACCGGGACACCGCCACAGAUCAAUCGGCAACCUCCACGCUUUCCUUCAGAAUCAUCGGCAGACCUCCUGUCAUGGCAAUCGGCAAACACUGAUACCGAUCAUCGGCACGAACAUGUCACCACCUCUGGACCUGGUCACAUUCAACUGUCUCUUCAUCGGCAACCACCUUCAUCGGCAACUUCCCUGCAGACUAGUUACCGUUGCUCCAUCUGCCGAUCUAUACUUUACCGAUCCUCGGGUACGUGUCUAAAAACGGUGUCAACACCAUCUAAGAAACAGAAGAACGAAUGGUUCGCUAAUCGCUAUAGCAUCUCAUCUAUGAAAGGUAAAGGAAAAUGAUCCUUUCUCGUGGCUUUGUUUAGUUUCCUAUAGUCUAUGCACAUCCGCCACCCUGUGACAGUGCGUUGCGGAAUUAGCUCGUUCUUUUCAUUCGUAAUGACAGUCAUGCCUCCGUUUUUAGGCAAAACUUGAACUGGGCUUACCCACUCACUGUGCGACACAGGAUGUAUAAUCCCUACAUGCAGCAACUUUAUAACUUCCUUUUUAACUACCUCUCUCAUCGUGUUGUUAAGUCUACGUUGGGGCUCUCGAGAAGGUGAAACAGAAGGAUAUGUCGGAAUACGAUGGGUACAAAUCAUAGGACUGAUUCCUAUAAGAUCUUGGAGUGAGUAGCCAAAAACUGAGUGAUGUUUUUCAAGAACGGUCAUCAAUCGCAGAGUUUGCUCCUAAGUGAGUUUAUCACUAAUGAUUACAGGAAACUCUGGAUUAUUGUUUAGGAAAGCAUAGAUAAGACCGGGUGGUAAAGUUUUAAGCUCUAUGGGAGGUCUAGGCAUUUCUGCAAACUCGUCUAAGGGUUCAGGUUCAGAUGGUUCAGCCUCUUCUUCUGUGAAGAAAGGAGCUUCGUCUUCUAAGUCUCGUUCAUCUAAAAGCUCUAGAGAUGCAGCCUUUACCUCCUCCAUAGGAUCAGGCAAAAGAUAAGACUCGGCCAUAUUAUUUAAGGAAUGUGAAAUUAUUAUGUGAAAUUUAAAAGUUUUUCCAAAAGAAAUAUGUAGCUUUCCAGUAUGACCUUCAUAAAGGAGUCUUCUAAAAGGUUGUCCUAUCAACAGGUCGAAGUCCCAUGUAUCAAAGAUAUAGAAGUUCAAAUGAACCAUGGAGCCUUCUCCUAUAAUGGGUAGGACAUUAAUAAUUCCAAGACUGGGGACUAAUCAUCCCGAAGAUUCCUUUAUGACCUUUGUUGUGGGGGUUAAAACCAAAUUUUUAAAUAAUUUAAGUGCAAAAGAUUCAGACAUGAUGUUGAUCCCCACAAUAGGAUUAUAGAGAGCAUCAAAUCGACUUACUUUUGAUUAUACCAUUGUCUAGCUUCUCCCCUUAAAGAAAAAGGAAAAAGCUUCCAACGUAAAGUUUUAUCAGAAAUGCCUUCAAUGCGAAGACAAUCACAUGUUUGUUCAAAAUCUCUAAUAUGAAGGUAAGGGUUUUCGUCUUCCUUUCCUGAAAAAGAUAGGUUUUGAAUCAUGGCAAUCAACCUAGAACUUAACCUAUAGUGGGAUGUUUGGAUAGGCUGUGAUGACUCCCAUGGUGAAAGGUCAGUUUCCGAAGGUGUUGCAAAUUGGUAGAUUGAUUUAGAAUCUUGGUUUUCCAUAAGGUAAGAGUAAAGAAAAUAAAUAAAGAAUAUAAAAGAUAAGAAAAGAUAAGAGUAUAAAUACAAGCUAGUAGUAAGACUGAGGGUUAUCUCAGCAAACCGUCUUUCUCCCCGGCAACGGCGCCAGAAAUGCUUGUUGAUAUUUGGGAACGCAAUAAGGAAUUGAUCCGCAAGCGUACGGAUAUCGGUGAGCACUUCACCCGAGAGGUUAUCCAGAGUAUCUGUUGACGGUCCUUAAAGCUUACAUUUAACCGUCAACUAAUCAUAGAAAAGGAUCCAAAUGCAGCCAACACCUAGACUUAGAGUUUUAUCUGACAGAAUACCACGAGUUUUGGUGUUUGUCUAUUUCUGUAGGGGGUUAUCAGGAAAUACGGAAGAAAGGCCCACACGUCGGGUUUACAUAGAGAUAUUAACGUGCCUCACAAUUUUCUAUCAUCUAGAAGACUCCAGAAGCUACGGGACCGAAGCGGAGGCCGAGAGGACUCAGGGAAAGGGCGCCCGCCCUCCUCUCCUAGGCGCCCACCCUCACAUAGAGUCCAAUCAGGACUCUCUUUUGGGAUAUUCCUCCACCGACCUAAAGGAUCAAGGAUAACCGUUCAAUCAAUGUCGGUUUGAUCCAACGGCCCAGAUUCACUUGAAGAGACUAUAAAACCAGACCCCCCUGGCCCCUGGAGAUCAUACCACUUCUACAGAAUCAAAGCUAGGGUUUCAAUUCUUCAUCCAAGUAGAGAGGAUCCCUCUAGUUCUUCUAGUUCUACAUCUAGUUCAUCUAGAUCUAGUUCUAGUUCAUCUAGUUCUAGUUCUAGUUCCUCUAGUUCUAGUUCUAGUUAGUUCUAGUUGUAAUCUAGAAAAUAGGGAGACAGAAGAGGAGAGCGGAGGAGGAGCCGGAUCUGUCAGAUCUUCCUCAACAUUGUACUUAUGCAGCAACUGGUUCGUUCUUCAUGGUUCUCUAGGUUCUUCAAUUCAUAAUUUCUGAGUUCUUUAAUUACUUUUAUUUACAUUCAAGUUAUUUAUUGGAUUCCCGCUUGCAUCAAGUGCUCUAGUCUUUAUAACGCUAGAGUAGUAAUUAAUAGAUUAGACGUGGUGUUUAGUCUUGCAAUUACCUGGAAUUGCACCCAAUCCUGCGGAUUGUUGUGGUAGCCUUAGUGUAGUGACAGCCCUAACGGUCGACGUAUUCCACCUCGUUCGGAUCGGUGUUUGUAGGACCAUAGUCAGACCUUCCUAGCACCCUUCUCAUCUCUUUCUGUGGUUAGUGCUCUGAUGUCCCGAUAUAAAUAAUCUUUGAAGUAAUUCUUGAUUCUUAGAUCGACUAGAGAACUCUUAGGAAACUUCCUCUCUUCCCACCGAAAACAAUUAUAUAGUUAUCCUUGGGCGAUCUUGGAACUUAAUUAGUACACUCACGUUCUCUGUGGAAAAUCGAUACUCUGGAAUACUCCCGGGUGAAAGCUACAUCGGUAUCCGUGCGCUUGCGGAUUUUUCUGUUUGCGUUUAAAAUACCCAACAAGCUUUCUGGCGCCGUUGCCGGGGAACGGUAGCUGUGCUAGUUUCGAACCAAGUCGUCCGUGUAUCCUUUUUCUUUUCCUUUUUUACCACACUCACCUUACCAUUUUCACCACACCACAUGGAUUUCACUCUAAGCAUUAAUGAGCAUGGAAUUUAUUUCAUAGCCACUUCAUUUACUCCUUGCUCAUAUGCAACAUCUUCACAAUCCAUUGGUUUUUCCAACAUCACCACAUUCGAGAUCUCCAACCCCCUCAUCCUUUCUAUUUAUAAAAACUUUAAAAGGGCGGUUGUCGAUGCAUAUGUCUAUAAUAAAUUUUGCAGAUCUCGUUGAGUUGAUCUUGAUAUAGGUCAGCGUUGGAGGGGAAACCACUUCGCCGACAUAAAUUGAUGGUUUCCCAAGGACAAGCUUAGUGUCCUAAAACAAGCACUGAUCAGAUUGUAACAUGAGCUUUUAAUUAUUUGCAACAUUAACUUGUGUAUUGAGCAUAUAAGGAUAAUUGUAAAAACAAAUUCCUGCGGGUAUUCUUGUCACUAACCUUUCCAGGAUUGGAGCAAGAAGAUCGGAUGAAUGACAAGCACGAGGUAUGUCCAACCAAUCAUCAUACAACAUUGAAUUAAAUUCAUCCAAACUUGAAUUUUGCAAAAUUCAAGCUUACUUUACAUAAAAACAUGAUUUGCCAUGUUGCUAUGUUGGUUGUCCCUACCUUUGAGACAUGCUCAAUUUGUUAAAUACUAAUCACACUACUUCAUCUCCACUUGAGUAGAUCUCUAUAAAUGCUCUCAUGCUACCUUUAUUUGCUUUAGUAUAUGUCUAGGUUUGGAGUAGUUUCAUUUAUCUCUUAAUUAAGCAUGGUGCUUAGUUUAGGAAUGAUGAUCUUACUUCCAAGGGAUUUUAAAUUAAGCAUGAUGCUUAGGUUAAAAUGCCCCCUAAAUCAAAUUAGACAUGGUGUCUAGGUUGAUCUUUGAGCCGAUAGUAUGCUACAGUAGACAUUGGAUAUUUUGUUGGACUAACCCCUGCAGGAAAACUUUCAAUAUCGACCUGGGAAGUCCUGAGAUAAACUCACAUUGGAGACAAAGAGAGAGACACAUGAAGUUUAACAAUUUACACAAGGAAGGCAUAGCUCACAAGAUAUGAUCCAUGGAGGGUGCCACAAACACGAUGCAUAGCCGCUAAGAAAGGAAAGCUUCCACAAGGUGAUACUGUACCAUCACUCUUCAAGUAAGGAAACAUCUUAAGGUACUUGACUAUCACUUUUAUAAGCUUCUCCUUGGUUCUGGCGUUCACAUGAAUAAAAGAGACAAACAUGUAUGAUUUACAACUCUAGAUUAACCAACCCAAUCGAUUCAAUAUGUUUAGUCCUUCCACCUUUGUGAUCCCACACUCCUAACCAUAUGAGCUAAAAUGCUGCACACUCAAUCUUUGGAAGAUAUAUAUAAAAAAAACAUAAGUAUAGAUAGAUUACCUUUCCAUUAGGUUGAGCGAUCUGAUCUGACAAAUGUUUUAAAUGCUACACUCAUGAUCUUAUUCAACUUUGUCUUGCUCACUGUGCUUAAGGAUAGAGAAGAAUAAAUACACUUUUGGUUCUGUUGGUGUUUCCCACCAACAGGGCCCAUGCACUUGAUCUCUGCCUUGUCUCUAUGAGCAGGUACGCUUCGAGCAAAAUAUGAAGGACUUUUACAACUCCCAGACUCCACCAAGUGAAGAACCUAGAUCUACGAGCACAAACACACUAGAGAUACGAGACACUUAGGCAAUCACUGCCCUGGGAUGCUUGAGGAUGUAACUACUGGAGUAACCCUAUUGUGGAAGUAAUUACUGACCUUCUGCCGGUCAGAGUGGCAAUCCAGGAUCCCGAUCUCCAUCGGCAUGGUGGACUUCCCAGAAGCACUCUGCGACUUUGGCUCCAGCGUCAACAUUAUACCCAGGGGAGGCCAUUCCUGAACACCUCAGGAGCUAUCAUCUACGCUAGUGCUGCCAAGAUCAGUUUCUACAUUAAGGGAAGGAAGGAGAUGUUUUCCUUCAAGAACAAGACUACACAAGUCUCAGAGCAAUCCCGACAUGAACCAAGGAAGAGGACCAAAAGGAGGGACAAGAACAAGCAAAUGUGGACCAAGUCAGCUAAGAUGGUCACUGCAGUUCAAGGAGGUCAAGAUCGUCGAUUUAAGUCACCGUUCCUAACCAAAAAGGAUGACCCAGUCACCUAUCAGCUCCUAUUCGGAACCAUGCCCCUAAAACCGACAUACAUUCAGCUCCAGAUCGGAGAAGACGAGUACGAUCCACCCAUCAUCCUUGGAAGACCGUUCCUCCGCACCAUUAAAGCAAUCAUCUACAUUGGAACCGGAGAAGUCCACAUGAACUUCCCCUCUGAGAAGGUACGCCGCUAUUUUACUGACCCUAACUAUAUAGUUGAAGACUCUAAGCAGGUCAGGACAAGAAGGAGAUGACGCAACCGCAACCAGAGAAGGCAAAAUCAUCAAGGACGGAUAUGUAGACUAUGAAGGAGAAGUUGUAAGGUCUGAAGACAUACAACUUGAACAGAACUGUCCUGAGGAGACCGUAGCACCGAGUCAGGUGUAUAGAGAGAGGAUAGUUAUACACGAAGAGCAGGCAUCGCCGGAACCACCGACUACGCAAUCCAGCGAAUCCCAGGACGACUGAGAAAACGGAGAGUCCCGUUCGGAGGACUUAAAAAAACACCGAACGCCUUGCCAAGAGCUUUGUUGUCUAUUUGAGCUCCAUAGAAUUCAAGGAUCAAAGAAGACUAGUAGACGGAGGACAUCCUAAUCACUGUAAGGGUGCUGCCGACAUUCAAAUACACCUCCGCCACCUGCUAGCUACAUCAGAAGAAAUUGCAUCAAAUCCAGCUUGGGGGAGAGCACCCCCAUUUACCUAGCUAAGUAUUCUACUCACGUUUAUACUCUGCUCUAAUAAUAAAAAGAUGCAUAAUCAUAUAAACCCAAAUAAAGAUUUUGUGCUUAUAUCUAUAUCUUUGCUUAGUUUCCUAAAUAAAUAAAUAAAUAAAGUUUGCUAUGAACCCUUAUGAUAAGCUCUCACAUGGAAAUGAUGAAUAGUUGCUCUGCCAUGACUAGUUCUCAAAAUUGAAAUCUCUCUUAAGUUUAGGCAUGACUGUUAUUAAUUAAGAUUUGCUCUAAACCUAAACUUGUGGAAAGAGUACUUGAUCUAAAGUCUAAGUUGUUAACGGAUACGAUAUGGGAAGGUUGAGCUGCUGUUUAUCUGUUCCUAGAGAUGCUACAAUUCUGGAGAAUUUUAUCUUUGAAAAUCUUUAAAUGUUGCAUGAUGAGUUCCUGUAUGAUGAGAGUUUAAAUUCCUACCACAGCCAUAUAUACAUGCUUGCUAGACUUUGAGCCACACAUUUACUUUUUACUGCUUAUGAGCAUUGAGUGUGGUCAAGCUGUGUAGACCCUUAGGAGCUUGUCAUGUGGUUAAAUCAAGAUUCACUUGCAUGUUCACUCACACAUGUUGCUUCUACUCCAGAAGUACGCAUCCACAUAUAUCCACCCAUUUCCAUCUCCAGAACCACCCAAAAAAUAUUCUACUUCUAAUCCGGGAGAGAAUAGCCAAAAACAUUUAUGUUUUCCCCUGUGAAAUAAAUGCUCAAGUUAUCUUGGUUACUGCCACUUGCUACAUUAUUUUAGGAGAUGAGUGCUCUAAAAAAAGAGAAAAAAAAGAGAGAAUACGAAGAAAUAAAAAGGGGCAAGUGCCCGGAACCUCGAAAGAAAAGAAAAAGUGAGACGAGAGGUAAAAAUGGACAAGUGUCCGACAGUAGAAUUAGGGGUACAAGAUACCGACCUGAGAUAAAAGAAAAAGAAAAUAUAGAGCAUCUCAUUCUCCUCAAAAAGUUUCAAAAGAGCAAGAAAGGUAUGUAUCCCCUCAAAAGAGCAUAAGUAGAAUUAGACUUUCACCAUUGUUAUCACCAUCAUUACCAUGCAUCAUUCAUUCGCCACACAUGCACAUCUUGAUUUGACUUAUUGACUUGUUCUUCUGGAUCCAUGGUUUGACUAUGCAAUAAAUGUCUCAUAAGUAUGUAUUAGCUGUCUCCCACCUAUGAGCUCCAAUAUCAAAACCUUAUUAGAGUAGGGGGCGAGAGAAGGCAAUGUCACUAUGCCUCAUACCAAAAAUACCACAUACUUUGAGAGAAGGCAUACACAUUUACUGCCUUGGUAAGGAUCCAGAAAUACCACAAAAGAGAGACUAGAGAGAGUCAUACAAGGAAUCUCUGAGUUUUAUUUGAAAAUCUGCAAAAACUCCAGAGCUAUAGUUAAUCGAAGAACAAGAGACAUGGCGCUUGACUAGACCGUUCUAUCUUUGAACUGCUCAAGACGCAAGUGAUGGUUGUAAGCCCCA